UUUUUUUUUGUUUUCUCAUUUUUAAACAAACACACGAGAAGAAUGCAAGAAAAAGAAAUAAACUAGCAUAGAUGAUACAAUGGAAGAGUGUGAACACCGACUAUCAAAGUGAAUGUGUGAGCAUGAAUAUAAAGUCGGUGAGAGACACGUACUCCCCCAAGCUUAGGCUUUUGGCCUAAGUUGGUCUAGUUCGACGGCUGGUGCGGGCGAUAUCCAAAAUCACAAUGGGGGUUGUACUCGGACGCGGCAGCUACCGCCUGAAUAGCUGCCUCACGAAGGCGAGCAGCCUUCACCUCCCUCUCAUACUCCUCUGCCUCUCCUCUGGUUAUGUAAUAUCUCCGUUUUCCGUGAAAGUCGAAGAAGGCAGGAGCAGGAAGGGUAAUAUGGAAAAUACGUUGUCGGUUAAAUAUUAACCGGUAUAGGAGGGAUUCAUUAUCCCUCUCAAGGAACUAAUAAUGUAUCAUAGUGGCGCGAUCAAGGAAAGUUGUGUGGAGCGGGGGAUGUCCUAUGCGGAUGGGUAUUCCAAGAGAAUUUGCUAUGCAAGUGGCAUAGAUCCCACUGAACAAAUCCCCUUCAUUAGCAUUAUUAUUUAGCCUCCUAGCAAUUAUAGCUCCCAUGUUGAAACUUCUAUCACCCGUUACUGCGCUCUUAAGAAUACUAAGCUCAGGUGCGCACAGGUGACUAUAGUCAUGACUGCCGUUAAUGCAUCUACCUAUGAAGAGGGCAAAAUAAUGUAAGGCAGGAAUAUGAAUGCUCCCCAUGGUAGCCUGCGUAAUAUCUCUAGUUUUCCAACAGUUAUACUAGAAAUAAAAUCUCUAACCAAAGACUUAGGAGGGUCAUUGGGACUACCCCAAUCAGGUAUGCUGCAUAAUCUAUUAAAAUCCUCUAAAUCCAUAAUAUACGAUUUGUCAUAAAGAUCAAACAGUAUGGAUGUGUCACGACCAACUCAAAAUUUGAAUCUACGAACAAAAGAGGCAGUGAGUGUAGUAUACUGUUCACAUUUAUUGGAGAUGAAUUCUUCGAGCACGGCAUUGCGAACAAAUGUAUCAAACUCGUCCUUGAAACAUGCAUCAAUCAUGAAUUCAUCGGAAGGCCAUUCACAUGGUUGCACCGGUGCGUUCCUCGGUUGUUAAGGAUCGGGCUCCCGAAUCGCGAGACGGGGACCCCUUUUGCUUGAGGAACCACCAUGAUAGUUCUUCCUGGACAUCUUCCUUUUUCUAAAAUAAUUCUGAAAUGUUUAGUGACUCGAAAUAAAAGUGAACAAAUUUUAACAAAACUCAUAGCAACUACUCCUGCAAGUGCCUAGAGGCCAUAUCAUGCAUCAAAACUACUUGGGACCAACUAAAAUUAACAUGCAAAGCUCAAGAACAGGGUCACCAGGGCAGCAAUAAUAUGCAAUGAAUAAAGCACUAGAAUAAAAACUAAUUGGACCAAUGGAGGGGUCACAUACCAAGGAACAAUUCCCCAAAACAGUUUGGUGAUUGGGGCUUUGCACAAGGAGAUCGAAAAAUGCAGCAAAAUGAGCAAGAACGCGGGUUUGAGGUGUGGAAUGAUUUUUUCGGGAGGUAGACGAAGAAUACGGGUGCUGGAAUAAGUGGAGGGGGGUCGUGUGGGACCCACGAGCCUGCCAAGCGCGCCCAGGGGGGCGCCUCCUGGGCUCGUGGCCCACUGGUGCAUCCCUCUGACUAGUUAUCUAUCUCAGAAAUUCUUAAAUAUUCCAGAAAAAAUCAUACUUGAAUUUCAGGACAUUUGGAGAACUUUUAUUUUUGGGUCAUUUUUUAUUGAACGGAUAAUGCAGAAAACAGGAAAAUAAUGUUAUGUUUAUUAUUUUUCUACUAAAUAACAGAAAGUAAAAGUUGGGAACAGAAGGUUGUGCCUUCUAGAUUCAUCCAUCUCAUGGUCAUCAAAAGAAAUCCGUCAAUGAGGUUGAUCAAGUCUCCUUGACAAACUUUUUUCGAAUCACAUAAAACCGGAGAAUUUUCAAAUAAUCACUAGGUUACCUCAACGGGUGUGUGCAUAUCCCCAAUAACAAGUAUAUCAUUUUUCAUUUUGACAGUAGGUAUAGGGAAUUCAAAGCUUCCAAUAAUAAUUGAUGAAGAUUUUUCAAUCGCAUUUAUGCAAUGAACUCGAUAUUGUUUCUUCGGAAAGUGCACCGUGUGCUCAUUAUCAUUAACAUGGAAAGUGACAUUGCCUUUGUUGCAAUAAAUAACAGCCCCUGCAGUGUUUAAAAAGGGUCUUCCAAGGAUGACCGUCAUGGCAUCAUCCUCGGAAAUAUCAAGAAUAACAAAGUCCGUUAAGAUAGUAACGUUCGCAACCACAACAAGCACAUCCUCGCAAAUGCCGAUUGGUAAAGCAGUUGAUUUGUCGGCCUUUUGCAAAGAAAUUUCAGUAGGUGUCAACUUAUCCAAUUCAAGUCUACGAUAUAAAGAGAGAGGCAUAACACUAACACCGGCUCCAAGAUCACAUAAAGCAGUUCUAACAUAAUUUCCAUUAAUGGAGCAAGGUAUAGUGGGCACUCCGGGAUCACCUAGUUUCCUAGGAGUCCCACCCUUAAAAGUGUAAUUAGCAAGCAUGGUGGAAAUCUCAACAUCAGGUAUCUUUCUUUUAUUAGUCACGAUAUCUUUCAUGUACUUAGCAUAAGGAGACAUUUUAAGCAUAUCAGUCAAACGCAUUUGCAAAAAUAUAGGUCUAAUCAUUUCAAGAAAGCGCUCAAAAUCCUCAUCAUCCUUUUUCUUGGAUGGUUUGGGAGGAAUGGGCAUGGGUUUCUGAACCCAUGGUUCUCUUUCUUUACCAUGCUUCCUAGCAAUAAAAUCAUUCUUAUCAUAUCUCUUGUUCUUAGGUUGUGGGUUAUCAAGAUCAACAGCAUGUUCAAUCUCCACAUCAUUAUCAUUACUAGGUUGAGCAUCAACAUGAACACCAUUAUCAAUAUUAUUAGUAGGCUCAUGUUCAUCACCAGAUUGUGCUUUGGCAUCAGAAAUAGAAACAUCAUUUGGAUUCUCAGGUGUAACAACAACAGGUUUACUAGCAUGCAAGUUCCUAUCAUCUUUCUUUUUCUUCCUAUUACUAGGAUGACUAGGUGCAUCAGUAUUAACUCCUUGAGAAUAUUGUUCAAUUCUCUUAGGAUGGCCCUCAGGAUACAAAGGUUCCAGAGUCAUUCUACCACCUCUAGUAACAACUCUAACGGAAUUAUCAUUCAAUUCAUUAAGCAAGUCAUUUUGAGCCUUAAGUACUUGUUCUACUUGAGUAGUGACCAUAGAAGCAUGUUUACCAAUAAGCUUAAGAUCAUUAACAUUUCUAUCCACACAAGCACUUAUAUGAUUAAUCAUAUGAGCAUUAUUUUCAGUUGUCUGCUAACAUAAUCAUUUAAACUUUGUUGUUUGGCAACAAAGUUAUCAAAUUCAUCUAAGCAUAAGCUAGCAGGUUUAUCAUAAGGAAUAUCACUCUCAUUGAGUCUACGAAGAGAAUUUACCUCUACUAGCUGUGUCGGGUUAUCAAGACCAUGUAUUUCUUCAAUAGGUGGUUGAUUCUUAACAUCUUCAGAUUUAAUACCUUUCUCUUGCAUAGAUUUCUUGGCUUCUUGCAUAUCUUUAGGACUGAGGAAUAGGAUACCUCUUUUCUUCAGAGUUGGCUUCAGAGGUGGUUCAGGAAUAGUCCAAGCAUUAUCAUUUCUCAAGAUAUUAUUCAAUAGAAUUUUAGCUUGUUCCAUAGUUCGUUCCCUGAAAACACAACCAGCACAACUAUCUAGGUGGUCCCUAGAAGCAUCGGUAAGUCCAUUAUAAAAGAUAUCAAGUAUUUCAUUUUUCUUAAGAGGGUGAUCAGGCAAAGCAUUAAGUAACUGGACAAGCCUCCCCCAAGCUUGUGGGAGACUCUCUUCUUCAAUUUGCACAAAGUUAUAUAUAUCCUGCAAGGCAGCUUGUUUCUUAUGGGCAGGAAAAUAUUUCUCAGAGAAGUAGUAUAUCAUAUCCUGGGGACUACGCACACAACCAGGAGAAAGAGAAGUAAACCAAGUUUUAGCAUCACCCUUUAGUGAGAAAGGAAACAACUUAAGGAUAUAGUAAUAGCGAAAUUUUUCCUCAUUAGUGAAUAGGGUGGCUAUAUCAUUCAGUUUAGUAAGAUGUGCUACAACAAUUUCAGAUUCAUAACCAUGAAAAGGAUCAGAUUCAAUCAAAGUGAUUAACUCAGGAUCGACAGAGAAUUCAUAAUCCUUAUGAGUAACAAAAAUGGGUAAAGUAGCAAACUUAGGAUCAUAUUUCAUUCUAGCAUUCAGAGAUUUUUCUUUCCACUUGCGUAAGAAAUUCUCAAGACCAUAGCUAUCCUUACAAGCAAGAAAGUCUUCAGCUACCUCUCCCUCCAUAACAUAACCCUUAGGUAUAUUAGGCAAUUCAUAUCUAGGAGAGCUAGGUCUAACAGGUGUCACAACAGGUUCAACUUCAAUAAUUUCAUCAGUUUCAGAAGUAUCAUCAGAUUCAGGAGUAACUCUAGCAAUUUGUGCACCAAGAAAUUCACCCAGUGGCAUAUCAUUAUCAAGCAAAGCAUCAUGGAUAGAAAAAGUAGCAUCAUCAAGCACAUGCAACAUAUCAGAAUUAUUAGUAGGUGGUGGUGUCGCAAAUUUACUCAUAACAGAAGGUGAAUCAAGUGCACAGCUAGAUGUCAGUUCCUUAUCUGUCCUCGUAGUUGAGGGCAAGACUUUAGUUUUUGGAUCUCUCGGAUUCCUCAUAGUGAUCAACAGAUAUAAAUCCCAAGUGACUCAGAGAAUAGAGCUAUGUUCCCCGGCAACGGCGCUAGAAAAAGGUCUUGAUAACCCACAAGUAUAGGGGAUCGCAACAGAUUUCGAGGGUAGAGUAUUCAACCCAAAUUUAUUGAUUCGACACAAGGGGAGCCAAAGAAUACUCUCGAGUAUUAGCAGUUGAGUUGUCAAUUCCACCACACCUGAAAGACUUAGUAUCUGUAGCAAAGUUUUAGUAGCAAAGUAGUAUGAUAGUAACGGUAGCGGCGAUAACAGUAGCAGUAGUAAUUUGUAUAGCAAGUGUGACAGCAAUAGCGGUAAAGUAACUUAGCAAGGACCAGUAUAGGAAAAGCUCGUAGGCAUUGGAUCGAUGAUGGAUAAUUAUGUCGGAUGGCAUUCAUCAUCUAACAGUUAUAACAUAGGGUGAUAUGUAACUAGCUCCAGUUCGUCAAUGUAAUGUAGGCAUGUAUUUCGUAUUUAGUCAUACAUGCUUAUGGAAAAGAACUUGCAUGACAUAUUUUGCCCUACCCUCCCGUGGCAGCAGGGUCCUAAUGGAAACUAAGGGAUAUUAAGGUCUCCUUUUAAUAGAGAACCGGAACAAAGCAUUAGCACAUAGUGAAUACAUGGGAUCCUCAUACUAUGGUCAUCUCCGGGAGUGGUUCCGACUAUUCUCACUCUGGGGUUGCCGGGUCAUAACACAUAGUAGGUGACUACAACUUGCAAGAUAGGAUCACGAACACACAUAUAUUGAUGAAAACAUAAUAGGUUCACAUAUGAAAUCAUGGCACUCGGGCCCUAGUGACAAGCAUUAAGCAUAGCAAAGUAGUAGCAACAUCAAUCUUAGAACAUAUUGGAUACUAGGGAUCAAACCCCAUCAAAACUAACUCGAUUACAUGAUAGAUCUCAUCCAACACAUCACCAUCCAGCAAGCCUACGAUAAUAUUACUCACGAACCAUGGAGAGCAUCAUGUAAUUGGCGAUGGAGGAUGGUUGAUGAUGACGACGGCGUCGAUUUCCCCUCUCCGGAGCCCAGAACGGACUCUAGAUCUGCCCUCCCAAGGAAGAACAGGCGGUGGCGGUGGCUCUGUAUAGUGAAACACGAUGAACUCUUCUCUCCUAUUUUUUUCUGGGUGAGAGAGGUUAUAUGGAGUUGGAGAUGAAAUCGGGGGAGCCACGUGGGCCCCACGAGCCUGCUAGGCGCGCCCUAGGGGGCGCCUGUAGGGUUCGUGGCCCACUGGCAGCGUAUCUUCAAUUGAUUCUUUCUCUGAUAUUUUUUAUAUAUUCCAUAAAAAAUCCUCAUAAGUUUCCAAGUCAUUCCGAGAAAUUUUAUUUCUGCACAAAAACAACACAAUGGCAGUUCUGCUGAAAACAGCGUUAGUCCGGGUUAGUUUCAUUCAAAUCAUGCAAAUUAGAGUCCAAGACAAGGGCAAAAGAGUUUGGAAAAGUAGAUACGUUGGAGACGUAUGACCCCAUGGCCCACCUCUGGUGACCAUCUUUUGGUAUAAAUUCCCUUUUAACCUGAGAAAAAUCAGGAGAGGACUUUCGGGACAAAGCACCACCGUCUUUAGGCAGACUUGGGAGGAUCACUUUUGCCCUCCUGCGGAGCGAUGCCGCCACAAGAACUUCCCUCUCGGAGGGGGAAUCGAGGCCAUCGUCAUCACGGACAACCCUCUCAUCUUGGGGAGGCCAAUCUUUCUCAUCAUGUUCAUUAGAAUCAUCUCCUAUCAAACCCCUAGUUCAUCUCUUGUGCUCAACCUUGUACCGGAACCUUAGAUUGAGACCUCGGGUGUGACUAGUAGUGUUGAUUACAUCUUGUAGUUGAUGCUUUAUUGUUUAUUUGGUGGAAGAUCAUAUGUUCAUAUCCAAUAUGCUAUUUAAUACAUCUCUGAUCAUGAGCAUGUUUAUCACUUGUGACUAGUUACCUAUGUUCUUGAGGCCACCGGAGAAGUCAUGUUGCAAGUAGUCAUGUGAAGUUGAUAUUUGUUCGAUAUUUUGAUGAUAUGAAUGUCGUGAUACCCUUAAUGGUGUUAUGUGAACGUCGACUACAUACCACUUCACCAUCUUUGAGCCUAAGGGAAAUGCAUUGUGGAGUAGUAAUUAGAUGGUGGGUUCCGAGAGUGACACAAACUUAAAACCCAGUUUAUGCGCUAUUCCGUAAGGGGCUGAUUUGGAUCACUAUGUUUAAUGCUAUGGUUAUAAUUUAUUCUUAAUAAUUUUCUCGUAGUUACAGAUGCUUACGGGAGGGUUAAUCAUAAGUGGGAGGUUUGUUCAAGUAAGAACAACACCCAAGCACCGGUCCACCCACAUAUCAAAUUAUCAAAGUACCGAACGCGAAUUAGCCCAACAUGACGAAAGUGACUAGAUGAAAUUCUCGUGUGCCCUCAAGAACGCUUUGCCUAUUAGAAGAAUCUGUUCCGGCCUGACAUUCGCCACAAAAGGAUUGGGAUACCUUUCUGCACCUAUUUUUACUAUUGCUACUUGUCACUUGUUACAAUUAUCUUGCUAUCAAACAACUUGUUAUCGCUAUUUCAGUGCUUGCAGAAAUUACUUUGCUAAAAACCGCUUGUCAUUUCAUUCCGCUCCUAGUUGGGUUCGACACUCUUACUUAUUGAAAGGACUAUGAUUGAUCCCCUAUACUUUUGGGUCAUCAAGACUUUUUUCUAGCGUCAUUGCUUGGGAGUGAAGCGACUUUGGUAAGCGGAAUUUGAUAAGGCAAAAUUUAUAUUACAUGCUGAAAUUUACUGUUACAUGUCACUAUGGAAAUCAAUCCUUUGAGGGGUUUGUUAGGGGUAUCUUCACGUCGAUCAGAAACACCAAGAGUUCUCCCUCAACCUGCUGAACCUACUGAAAUUUUUUAUUAUCAAAUUCCUUUGGGUAUGAUAGAGAAACUGCUAGCUAAACCUUAUGCAGGACAAUGAACAAAACAUCCCGAUAUGCACCUGAUCUAUGUGGAUUAUUUAAACUUGCAUGUUUAUCUGGAGAUGAAUUCAAGAAGAAGGUUUUCCCUUUAUCUUUGGGGGAGCAUUAACAUGGUAUAGGCUAUGUGAUGAUACAUGAUCUUGGAACUGGAAUCGGUUGUAAUUGUAGUUUCACCAACAAAAUUAUCCUACGCAUCUUGUUCAUCAUGAUAGGAAUUUAUCUAUAAUUUUUGGCCUCGUGAAGGAGAAAGUAUCUCUCUAGAUUGGGGGAGGCUUAAGUCAAUGUUAUAUUCAUGCCACAAUCAUGAGCUCCCGAGAGAAAUUAUUUUACAGAUUUUUUAUGCUCGGCUUUCUUGUAAUGAUCAAACCAUGCACGAUACUUUUUGUUAUGGUUCUUUUAUGAAGAAGACUAUUGAGUUCAGGGGGUUCUUUUGGAAACAAUUAAAUGCAAGUGUAAAGAUUGGGAACUCAAAGAAGGUAAAGAGUCAGGUAUAAAACUUAAGUUUGAUUGUGUUAAAUAUUUUAUGAAUAGUGAUGCUUUUAAUGAUUUUAGCACUAAAUAUGGACUUGACUCUCAGAUAGUAGCGUCAUUCUGUGAAACCCUUGCUGCUCAUGUUGAUCUCCCUAAAUAUAAAUAUUUUAAAUAUCGUCCAACUAUUAAAUAAAAACUUGACGAACCAAUUAAAGUUGAGGAUGAAACUAUCAUUUACAAUGUUGACCUAGUUGUGCGUACUCCUUAUAUUGAGAAGCCACCUUUCCCUGUUAGGAUAAGGGAACAUGCUAACGAUUCAACCAUGGUUAACAAAAUUUAUGUCAGAACAACCAAACCCUCCAAAAAAAUCAAGGUAGAACCUAUUUUUUGCUAUGGUUAAAGAUCUCUUGGUCAAAAAUAUUGAUGGGCACGUUAUUUAUUUUUGUGAUGAAGCUGCUAGAAUUGCCAAACCUGAUAAUAAAGAUAAAAAUAGACCCGUUGUUGGCAUGACUGUCAUCUCAGUCAAAAUACGAGAUCAUUGCUACCAUGGUUUAUGUGAUAUGGGUGCUAGUGUUAGUGCUAUUCCUUUCACCUUAUAUCAAGAAAUUAUGCAUGAGAUAGCACCAUGUGAAAUAGGAGACAUAGAUGCGAAAGUCCUCUUCUGUGCUCACCUGAGCACCCGUGAACAGUAAAGUAAAAAAAACACUUGAUCACCAUAUGACUUUCGUCGAAAAAGCAGCAAAAAAAAUCGAUGCUCCAAAACGCUACAAAAAACUGACCUUUUGGAACAUCACAUUUGUUUUUUUGCCACAUUUUCUACGAAUGUCAUCUAGUGAUGAAACUUUGCACGCGUGUGGGAAAAAUAUCAAAGUUUCUCGCAAAAAAUAUCAGAUUUUUUGAAAUGUUUUAAAAAAAUCGAUUUUACUGUUCACGCGUGCUCAGGUGAGCACGUGGGUAGGACAGCCGCGUCCACAUAGAUGUUACUAUUAAACUUUCUAAUAGAGACACCAGCACACCACUUGGGAUUGUUAGAGAUGUUGAAGUCUUGUGUGGAAAAGUAAAAUACCCUACUGAUUUUUUAGUAUUUGGCUCACCACAAGAUGAUUUUUUCCCAUAAUAUUUGGUAGACCCUUCUUGAACACUGUCAAUGCUCAAAUAGAUUGCAAAAAGGAAACUGUCAAUGUUUAUUUUGGUGGUAUGUCUCAUGACUUUCAUUUCUCCAAGUUCAGUAAGCAACCCCAUGAUAAAGAAUUUCCUAGUAAAGAUGAAGUAAUUGGUCUUGCUUCUAUUUCCAUUCCUCCUACUGAUCCAUUAGAACAAUAUUUACUAGACCAUGAAAAUGAUAUGCAUAUGCGUGAGAGAGAUGAACUAGAUAAUAUGUUCUUUGAGCAAAAGCUUAUCCUUAAACACAACUUCCGUGUUGAAACUCUAAGAGCUGUUCCUCCACCCAAGGGUGAUCCUGUGUUGAACUAAAGCAAUUACCUAGCACUUCAAAAUAUGCUUAUCUUGAUGAAAAUAAGAUAUAUCGUAUUAUUAUUAGUGCUAACCUUACACAACAUAAAGAAGAAAGAUUGUUAAAAUAUUUAAGGAAGCACUCAGCUGCUAUUGGGUAUAAUCUUGAUGAUCUUAAGGGCAUUAGUCCCACUCUUUGUCAGCACAAGAUUAAUAUGGAACCAGAUGCUAAACCCGUUGUUGAUCACGAAUGAAGAUUGAAUCCCAAAAUUAUAAAAGUGGUAAGAAAUGAAAUAUUAAAGCUUCUGGAAGGAGGUAUAAUCUAUCCCAUAGCCCAUAGUAGAUGGGUAAGUCCGAUUCAUUGUAUUCCUAAGGAAGGAGGUAUUACUGUUGUUCCUAAUGAUAAAAAUGAACUAAUUCCAUAAAUAAUUGUGACUGACAAUAGAAUGGUAAUUUAUUAUAGAAAAUUAAUCAAAGAUAUUAGGAAAGAUCAUUAUCCUUACCUUUCAUAGACCAAAUGCUAGAAAUAUUAUCAAAGCACACACAUUUUUGCUUUCUAGAUGGUUAUUCUAGUUUCUCACAAAAACAUGUGCCGCAACCUGAUUAAGAGAAAACCACCUUUACUUGUCCUUUUGAAACCUAUGCUUAUAGACAUAUGCCUUUUGGAUUAUGCAAUGCACCUGCUACCUUUCAAAGAUGUAUGACUGCUAUAUUCUCUAAUUUUUGUGAAAAGAUUGUUGAGGUUUUCAUGGAUGAUUUUUGUGAAAAGAUUGUUGAUGCCAUCUUACUUUAUGCGUUACUCUGUUCUUCAUGAAAUUAAUACUCUAGAUGCAGGCACGACUCGGUUGAUGUGUGGAGUAAUAGUAGUAGAUGCAGAAUCAUUUCGGUCUACUUGAUACGGACGUGAUGCCUAUAUGCAUAAUCAUUGCCUUGGGUAUCUUCAUAAUUAUUUGCUUUUCUAUCAAUUGCUCGACAAUAGUUUGUUCACCCGCCGUAUUAUUUUCCUUCAUGAGAGAAUCCUCUAGUGAAACCUAUGGCCCCCGAGUCUAUUUUCCAUAUCAUAUUUUCAGAUCUAUAAACCAAAAAUACCAAAAAUACUUUGCUGCAAUUUAUUUACUUUAGUGUCACUUUCAGAUCUAUCAAUAUUUUAUAUCUAUGUCUAUCAGAUCUCAUCCUUGCAAAUAACUCUGAAGGGAUUAAAUUCCCCUUUAUAGCGUUGGGUGCAAGUGUUUGAUUAUUUGUCUACUAUUGGAGUCUCGCUUGUUCCUCCUACUGGGUUGAUACCUUGGUUCUCAACAAACUGAGGGAAAUACUUAUCUACUUCGUUGCAUCACCCUUUCCUCUUCAAGGGAAAACAACGCAAGCUCAAGGGGUAGAAGAUUCACAGAAACAUAUUUCUGCGUUGUGUUACUUUCUGGUUGAAGCAAAGGUUCAAUAACCUCAUCAAGUUCUAUCUUCCUCCAACUCAAUUCUUUCGGGAGAAACUCUUUCUCAAGAAAUGUUCCGUUCUUAGCGACAAACACUUUGCCUUCGGAUCUGAGAUAGAAGGUAUACCCAAGUGUCUCUUUUGGGUAUCCUAUGAAGAUGAAUUUCUCCACUUUGGGUUCGAGCUUUUGAGGCUGAAUCUUUUUGACAUAAGCAUCGCAUCCGCAAACAUUAAGAAACGACAACUUUAGUUUCUUUCCAAACCAAGAUUCAUAUGGCGUCGUAUCAAUGGAUUUAGAUGGUGCCCUAUUUAAAGUGAAUGCACUUGUCUCUAAUGCAUAACCCCAAAAUAAUAAUGGCAAAUCGACAAUAGACAUCAUAGAACGUACCAUAUCCAAUAAAGUACGAUUACGCCGUUGAGACACACCAUUACGCUGUGGCAUUCUAGGCGGGGUCAACUAUGAAACAAUUCCACAUUGUUUUAGGUGAGUGCCAAACUCAUAACUCAAAUAUUCUCCUCCUCGAUCAGAUCGUAGGAAUUUAAUCUUCUUGUUACGAUGAUUCUCAACUUCACUCUGAAAUUGCUUGAACUUUUCAAACGUUUCACACUUUUGUUUCAUUAAGUAAAUAUACCCAUAUCUACUUAUGUCAUCACUGAAGUUGAGAAAAUAACGAUAUCCACCACACGCCACAAUGCUCAUCGGACCACACACAUCAGUAUGUAUGAUUUCCAGUAAGUCACUUGCCCGCUCCGUUAUUCCGGAGAUCGGGGUCUUAGUCAUCUUCCGCAUGAGGCAUGGCUCACAUGUGUCAAGUGAUUCAAAAUCAAGUGACUCCAAAAGUCCAUCAACAUGGAGCCUCUUCAUGCGUUUUACGUCAAUAUGACCUAACCGGCAGUGCCACAAGAAAGUGGUACUAUCAUUAUUAACUUUACAUCUUUUGGCGUCAGUGUUAUGAACAUGUGUGCUGUCACUAUCGAGAUUCAAUAAGAAUAAACCCCUCACAUUGGGUGCAUGACCAUAAAAUAUAUUACUCAUAUAAAUAGAACAACCAUUAUUCUAUGAUUUAAACGAGUAACCGUCUCGAAUUAAACAAGAUCCAGAUAUAAUGUGCAUUCUCAACGCACGCACUAAAUAACAAUUAUUCACGUUCAUCACUAACCCUGAUGGUAACCAAAGAGCGAGCGCACCGACGGCGAUCGCAUCAACAUUGGAACCAUUUCCCACGCGCAUUGUCACUUUGUCCUUCGCCAACCUUCGUUUAUUCCGUAGUUCCUGCUUUGAGUUGCAAAUGUGAGCAACCGAACCGGUAUCAAAUACCCAGGCACUACAAUGAGAGUUGGUAAGGUACACAUCAAUAACAUGUAUGUCACAUAUACCUUGUUUGGUGGUGGCUGCCUUCUUGUUGGCCAGAUAUUUGGGGCAGUUCUGCUUUCAGUCGUUAGUACCCUUGCAAUGAAAGCACUCAUUUUCUCGCAUGGGUCCAGCCUUGGGUUUCUUCACGGGAGGGGUAACUGCUUUGCCACUCUUCUUGGAUUUACCCUUCUCGCCCUUGCCAUUCUUCUUGAAACUAGUGGUUUUAUUGACCAUCACCACUUGACGCUCCUUCUGAAUUUCCGACUCAGCGACUUUUAGCAUCGCAAACAGCUCGGCGACUGAUUUGUUCAUCCCUUGCAUGUUAUAUUUUAGCACAAAGCUUUUGUAGCGAGGUGUUAGUGAUUGAAGAACUUGUCAGUGAUUGCCUCUUGCGGGAGAACAAUUCCCAACUCAGCCAGACGGUUGGAUACCCAGACAUUUUCAGUAUGUGCUCACUGACAGGCCCGUUCUCCUCCAUCUUGCAAGCAUAGAACUUAUCGGAAGUCUCAUACCUCUUGAUACGGGCAUUAUUUUCCAAGAUAAACUUCAACUCCUAGAACAUCUCAUAUGCUCCAUGUUGUUCAAAACGUCUUUGAAGUCCCAUCUCUAAGCCAUACAAGAUUGCACACUGAACUAUUGAGUAGUCAUCAGAACGUGCCUACCAGACUUUCAUAACGUCUUCAGUCGCCGGGAGUGGGUGUGCCUCACCAUGUGGUGCAUCAAGGACAUAAGCCUUUUGGGAAACCGUGAGGACAAUCCUAAAAUUAUGGGCCCAGUCUACAAAGUUACUUCCAUCAUAUUUCAGCUUGGCUUAUCUAGGAACACAUUAAAAUUCAGGGGAGCUACUGUACGGGCCAUUGAUCUUCAACAUAAAUUUGCAAAGAUUACUUAGACUAUUGUUUAAUAUAAUGAGUUUAGUUAAUCAUAUUACAAAAAACUCCCACUCAAAUUGACAUCCCUCUAGUCAUUCGAGUGUCACAUGAUCCAAAUUCACCAACCCAAGCUUGAUCAUUGAUGACCCACAAGUAUAGGGGAUCAAUCGUAGUCCUUUGAUAAGUAAGAGUGUCGAACCCAACGAGGAGCAAAAGGAUCUGACAAGUGGUUUUCAGCAAGGAAAUAUCUGCAAGCACUAAAAUUAUUGGUAACAAGUGAUUGUGUGGUGAGAUGAUUCAUAGCGAGCAACAAGUAACAAAAGUAGUAACGGUGCAGCAAAGUGGCCCAAUCCCUUUUGUAGCAAGGGACAAGCCUGGACAAAGUCUUAUAGGAGGAAAAACGCUCCCGAGGACACACGGGAAUUUUUGUCAUGCUAGUUUCAUCAUGUUCAUAUGAUUCGCGUUCGUUACUUUGAUAGUUUGAUAUGUGGGUGGACUGGCGCUUGGGUACUGCCCUUACUUGGACAAGCAUCCCACUUAUGAUUAACCCCUCUCGCAAGCAUCCGCAACUACGAAAGAAGAAUUAAGACAAAGUCUAACCAUAGCAUUAAACUAGUGGAUCCAAAUCAGCCCCUUACGAAGCAACGCAUAAACUAGGGUCUAAGCUUGUGUCACUCUAGCAACCCAUCAUCUACUUACUAGUUCCCAAUGCCUUCCUCUAGGCCCAAAUAAUGGUGAAGUGUUAUGUAGUCGACGUUCACAUAACACCACUAGAGGAAAAACAACAUACAAUACAUCAAAUUACCGAACGAAUACCAAAUUCACAUGACUACUAUUAGCAUGACUUAUGCCAUGUCCUCGGGAACAAAAGUAACUACUCACAAAGCAUAAUCAUAUUCAUGACCAGAGAGGUAAUGAGUAGCAUCAAGGAUCUGAACAUAAACUCUUCCACCAAAUAAUCGAACUAGCAUCAACUACAAAGAGUAAUCAACACUACUAGCAACCUUACAAGUACCAAUCGGAGUCGCGAGACAGAGAUUGGUUACAAGUGAUGAACUAGGGUUUGGAGAUGAGAUGGUGUUGAUGAAGAUGUUGAUGGUGACGAGUCCACUCCGAUGAGAGGAGUGUUGGUGAUGACGAUGGCGACGAUUUCCCCCUCCGGGAGGGAAGUUUCCCCGGCAGGAUCAUUCUGCCGGAGCUCUAGAUUGGUUCUGCUUGAGUUCCGCCUCGUGCCAGCGGCGAAUGCACGAAAAAGCUCCUCUCUGAUUUUUUUUUCCAGACAAAACCAUUCACAUAGCAAAAGAGGGGGGCCAGUGGGCCAGCAGGCUGCCCACAAGCCCUCAUGGCAUGGCCUGGGUGUUGGCCGCACCGUGCAGGCUUGUGGCCACCUGCUGGCGCCCCUCUGGCACUUCUUCGGCCUAGUAUUUUUUAUAAAUCCGGAAAAAAAAUCCUCGUUGAUUUUUAUGGCGUUUGGAGUUGCGCAGAAUAGGUAUCUCAACGUUGCUCCGCUUUCAGGCCAGAAUUCCAGCUGUCGGCAUUCUCCCUCUUCAUGUAAACCUUGCAAAAUAAGAGAGAAAAGGCAUAAGUAUUGUACCGUGAAGUGAAAUAACAGCCCAAGAAGCGAUAGAUAUCAACAUGAAAACAUGAUGCAAAAUGGACGUAUCAACUCCCCCAAGCUUAGACCUCGCUUGUCCUCAAGCGAAAGCCUAGCUCAAUAAAUAUCUUCACAUGUUUGGGAGAGAGGUGUCGACAAAACAAGAUACGAACAUGCAUGCAUCAUGAUCAUGAUCAGAACAACAAUACCAACAUAUAAUCUCUCAUGCUAAAGUGAUAAUACCUUCACAAAGUAAAGCAUGGAUCAAAAACCUUACCGAGAAGUAACGACCGAUAGCCUUUAGUCAUUGAAGCAAUUGCUAUUUAUCACAACAUCAGAAAGAGUCAAAUAAGAGCUUGUAAAGCAAAUCCACAUACUCAAUCAUUCUUUCGUUCUCUACAAUUGCUACAACUCACUUGGUACUCAUGAGAUCAAAGUUUCAGCUAGACACAGAGAAAGAUAGGGGCUUACAGUUUUGCCUCCCAACUGCUUACCUCAAGGGUAAUGUCAACAAUAAUAAUUUAUGAAUACUUACCUCCAAGUUGACAUAUGAAUAGAGAUCUUUCCCAAGCAUAUGACGUUAGCCAAGGAAAAGGCGAAACAAGGAGUUGGUGAAGAUCACCAUGACUCUUUCAAGGGCAAAAAGUAAAGGUACAAGAUAGGCCCUUUACAAGAGGGAAGCAGAGGUUGUCAUGUGCUUUUGAGGUUUGGAAGUGUGUCUUCUUAGUGCGGAGGAAUAUCACUUUAUAUUGCCUCCUGUGAUAAAGAACUUUAUUAUGCAGUCUGUCGCUUUUAUGUCUUCCUCAUCACAGGUUCGUACAAAGCUUAUUUUCCACACACUAAUAGAUCAUACAUAUUAGAGGGCAAUUUUUAUUGCUUGCACCGAUGACAACUUACUUGAGGGAUCUUAUUCAAUCCAUAGGUAGGUAUGGUGGACUCUCAUGGCACAACUGGGUUGAAGGUUUAUGGAUGCACAAGUAGUAUCUCUACUUGGUGCGGGAGUUUUGGCUAAUAUGAGGUGGAAGCAAUCGUCACAUGCUAAGGGAUCUCUAAUCAUAUAACAUUGUUCGGAACUAAGCAAACACAAUUCAUUAUGUUGUCUUCCUUGUCCAACAUCUACUUCUAGGCAUGUAAUAGUUUGGUGAGUACUCACAAUCAUAGAUGGUGUCAGAGAUGAUAUAUUUAUAUGUGAACCUCUCCUUCUUUAUCACUUCCUAUUAAUUGCAACAAUGACCAAGGUCUACGUUUGUCUACCCUCAACAAGUUUCAAUCAUCAUCCUUUUUAUAUGUGAAGCCAUCAGUUCCCAUAAGAUCAUUACAUGAUCUUUCAUGCUUUUGUUCUAUUCUCACUCUUUUGAUCAUGGCAAGAGGCAAAGCCCUUCAACUAAGACACUCUUUAUUAUAUGGCUCACGAGCUCGAAUACAUCAGGGGUGACACUAAGCAAAACUCAAGACUAAAACACUAAGAUUUUUAAUCUACUAGAGAAAAAAAAGAAAACUGAAAAGGAACAAACUAAAACAAAGGUAAAAGCAAAAGGUGUGAUGGUGAUACGAUACCGGGGAAACUCCCCCAAGCUUGGCACAAGCCAAGGGGAUUGCCCAUACCAAUGCUCAGUUGUCUUCCUUUGGUGGUGAUGGUGGUGGAGUUGUUGCAACAUGGGCUUGAUCCUCCGUCUUCCAAGGAAUAGGUGCUCCAUCAUGGAAAGAUGAACGAGUCUCCGGAAUCCCCAAAUCUGCAGCCAACCUUGUUGAUUUAAAUCUAUACUCAUACUCACAGUUUUGGUUCUGCAUGUCAUAGAUCUGGGCCUGGAGUUGAUCAAUCCUGUCGUAGAGCCUCGAGAGGUGCUUCCCAAUGUCAUUGGCAUCAAUCAUGUGCUUGUUGGUGAACUCUGUGAUCAUCAUGUGGUUGGCGUUGAGUCCACGCUCCACCAUCCCUUGGCACUUGAAGACUUGUUGCUCCAUUCCUUCGAGCCUCGUCUCCACGCUUCCGGUCUUCUUAGGCCCCUCAACAUCACGGAUGUGCAACAUCCCCUCACGCAUCUCGAUAGAUUGAGGGCGUUGCAGCACUCCCGUGAGGUAGGGAUUGAUGACCUUCUCAAAGAUCUUGUCCUUCAGAGCUUUUGGGGAAGUCAUAGCGAUCUAGAUCUGCAACAGAAACAGGCUCGAAACGAAAAACAGAGGAAAUCUGCGUGAUGCAGGGGUCAGACCAAACGGGAGUGUAUAUAAUGAUUUUUUACAAACCAGAAGGAGUACCCCACACAAAAACGGAGCCCGGGAGGCGCACGAGGUGACCACAAGCCCUCACGGCGCGGCCAGGAGGUGGGCCCGCGCCGUGCAGGCUUGUCGCCUCCUCGCGCACUUUCCGGACUACUUCCAUUUUUUCUAUUUUUUCAAAAAUUCCAAAACGGAGAAAAUUUCCUACUGGAAAAGUUUUGGACUCUGUUUUCUUACCGAAUCACAUACCUCUUCGUUUUCGGAGUCUGAAAUAGGCUGAUAAAUAUCCCUUAGGUAUUCUUCCGGAGUUAUGGUAUUGAAAAAUUGCUUUCAACAUUUAUGGGAGUACCUGAGAUAUAAUGCUUGAUUCUUUGCCCAUUUACCACUCUCGGACAAUUACCUUCCGUGUUGUUGAUCUUGAUAGCACCGGAAUGAUAUACUUCCUCGACAACAUAGGGACCUUCCCAUUUAGAGAGAAGCUUGCCUACAAAGAAUCUUAAACAAGAGUUGUAUAGCAAGACAUAAUCACCUACAUUGAACUCACGCUGUUGUAUCCUCUUAUCAUGCCACCUCUUAACCUUCUCUUUGAACAGCUUGGCAUUCUCAUAUGCCUGAGUUCUCCACUCAUCAAGCGAGCUAAUAUCAAAUAACCUCUUCUCACCGGCAAGUUUGAAAUCAAAGUUGAGCUCUUUGAUUGCCCAAUAAGCUUUAUGCUCUAGCUCAAGAGGUAAAUGACAUGCUUUACCGUACACCAUUUUGUACGAAUACAUGCCCAUGGGAUUCUUAUAGGCAGUUCUAUAAGCCCACAGUGCAUCAUCGAGCUUCUUAGACCAAUUCUUUCUAGACCUGUUGACAGUCUUUUGCAGAAUUAGUUUAAUCUCCCUAUUACUUAGCUCUACUUGACCACUCGACUGAGGGUGAUAGGGAGACCCAAUUCUAUGGUUGACAUCGUACUUAGCAAGCAUUUUACGGAAAGCACCAUGAAUGAAGUGUGAACCACCGUCGGUCAUUAGAUAUCUAGGGACUCCAAAUCUAGGGAAGAUAACUUCUUUCAGCAUCCUGAUAGAGGUGUUGUGAUCAGCACUACUAGUGGGGAUAGCUUCUACCCACUUAGUGACGUAAUCAACAGCAACUAGGAUAUGAGUAUACCCAUUGGAUUUUGGAAAAGGUCCCAUAUAAUCAAAGCCCCAAACAUCAAAUGGUUCAAUGACAAGUGAAUAGUUCAUAGGCAUUUCCUAACGUUUGCUAAUAUUACCUAUUCUUUGACAUUCGUCACACGACAAGACAAACUUACGGGCAUCCUUGAAGAGAGUGGGCCAAUAGAAACCUGAUUGCAAUACCUUGUGUGCAGUUCUAUCUCCCGCAUGGUGUCCUCAGUAAGCCUCGGAGUGACACUUCUAUAGGAUUUGUCCCUGUUCAUGUUCAGGUACACAACGUCUAAUAACACCAUCUACUCCUUCCUUAUAAAAGUGAGGAUCAUCCCAAAAGUAGUGUCUCAAGUCAAAGAAAAAUUUCUUGUUUUGCUGGUACGUGAAACUAGGUGGUAUAUAUUUGGCAACGAUAUAGUUUGCAUAAUCAGCAUACCACGAUGCACUACAUGAAGCAUUGAUGACAUUCAGUUGCUUAUCGGGAAAGCUAUCAUCAAUAGGUUGUGGGUCAUCAAGAACGUUCUCCAACCUAGGCAAGUUAUCUGCUACUGGGUUAUCAGCACCCUUUCUGUCGACAACGUGCAAAUCAAAUUAUUGUAGCAAAAGAACCCAUCUGAUAAGUCUAGGUUUAGCGUCUUUCUUCUCCAUGAGGUACUUAAUAGCAGCAUGAUCAAUGUGAAUAGUGAAUUUGGAAUCAACUAUGUAAGACCUGAAAUUUUCACAUGCAAACACGACUGCUAAAAACUCCUUCUCCGUAGUAGCAUAGUUUCUCUGAGCACUGUCUAGAGUUUUACUAGCAUAGUGAAUAACGUUCAGCUUCUUAUCAACUCUUUGCCCUAGAACAGCACCAACAGCAUAAUCGCUAGCAUCACACAUGAUCUCAAAAGGUAAGUUCCAAUCAGGUGGUUGAACAAUAGGUGCAGUUAUCAAAGCCCUCUUAAUUAUUUCGAAGGCUUCCUCACAAUCAUCGUCAAAGACAAAAGGAAUAUCCUUUUGCAAGAGAUUGGUAAGAGGCCUCGAAAUCUUAGAGAAGUCUUUGAUGAACCUUCUAUAGAAACCAGCAUGACCAAGCAAACUUCUUAUACCUUUGAUAUCUGUGGGGUAUGGCAUUUUCUCGAUUGCAUCAACCUUAGCCUUAUCGACUUCAAUACCUCUUUUAGAAAUUUUAUGUCCUAAGACGAUGCCUUCAUUAACCAUAAAGUGGCACUUCUCCCAUGUCAAGACAAGAUUGGUGUCUUUACGUCUCUGUAAGACUCGAUCAAGGUUGCUGAGGCAAUCAUCAAAGGAAGACCCGUAAAUAGAAAAGUCAUCCAUGAAAACCUCAACAAUCUUUUCACAAAAGUCAGAGAAUAUAGCCAUCAUACAUCUUUGAAAUGUGGAAGGUGCAUUACAUAAGCCAAAAGGCAUACGUCUAUAAGCAAAGGUACUGAAAGGGCAGGUGAAAGUGGUUUUCUCGUGAUCAGAUUGUGCAACUGGUAUUUGGGAGAAACCAGAAUAACCGUCUAGAAAGCAGAAGUGUGUGUGUUUAGACAGCCUUUCUAGCAUUUGGUCGAUAAAAGGCAGAGGGUAAUGAUCUUUCCUAGUGGAUUUAUUCAAUUUCCUAAAAUCGAUCACCAUCCUAUAGGCAGUAAUAAUCAUCUGUGGGAUUAAUUCAUCCUUAUCAUUAGGGACAACGGUAAUGCCUCCCUUCUUAGGGACGCAAUGCACCGGACUCACCCAAUCGCUAUGAGCAACAGGAUAGAUAAUACCCGCUUCCAGGAGCUUUAGUAUUUCUUUUCUCACUACUUCUUUCAUCUUAGGAUUUAAUCUCCUUUGAUGAUCAGCAACUNAGUAUAUCCAAUAGCAGAACGAUGCUUCCUCGGAGUUUUUAGUAACUUAUUUCCUUCAUGCUCUGAGAGGCUAGCACUAAUUAUAACAGGAUAUAUCUCCUUUUCAUCAAGAUAAGCAUACUUAAGAGUAUCAAGCAACUGUUUAAGCUCGAACACAUGAUCACUCUUUGGUGGGGGUGGAUCCCCAAGCAGUUCAACACGCAAGUUAUUCUUAAGGAUAGGAUAUUGUUCUAAGACAACUCUAUCUAUCUCAUCCCUUUCAUCCAUAUGCAUAUCAUUUUCAUGCUCAAGCAAGUAUUGCUCUAAGGGAUCAGUAGGAGGCACGGCAACAGAGGCUAAGGCAAUAGUUUCAUCCCUACUAGGCAACUUAUUUUCAUGAGGUUGUCUACCAAACUUGGAGAAGUUGAACUCAUGUGACACGCCUUCAAAGCCAACAGUGACAGUUUGCUUCUCACGGUCAAUAUGAGCAUUGAAGGUAUUGAGAAAAGGUCCGCCAAAUACGAUGGGACAAAAGCUAUCUUGUGCGGUAGCAAGAACGAGGAAAUCAGCAGGAUACUUCGUUUUACCACACAAGACUUCAACAUCCCUAACAAUUACCACAGGGCAAAUAGUAUCUCUAUUGGCAAGCUGAAUAGUGACAUCAAUAGGCUCUAUCUCAACAGGUGCAAUCUCAUCUUUGAUUUCAUCAUAUAAGGAUUGAGGUACUGCACUAACACUAGCACCCACGUCACAUAAGCAAUGAUAACAAUGAUCUCCUAUCUUAACAGAAACCACAGGCAUGCCAACAACAGGCCUAUGUUUGUCUCUAACGUGAGGUUUAGCAAUUCUAGCAGCAUCUUCACAGAAGUGAAUAUUAUGUCCCUCAACAUCGUCGGACAGAAGAUCUUUGAUAAUAGCAAUGCUAGGUUCAACUCUAAUUUGCUCAGGGGGUGUAGGUGUUCUAAUAUAGCCUCUACGUAUCACAGUUGAAGCUUUAGAAUGAUCCUUUAUCCUAACAGGGAAAGGUGGUUCCUCAAUGUAAGCACUCGGAACAACAGGAUCAUUAUAGGCAAUGACUUUCUCUUCAACUGGAGUAGGUUUAACUACAUUGACUUCUAAAGGAGGAUGAUAUUUAAACCACUUCUCUUUGGGGGGAUCAAUAUGAGCAGCAAAGGAUUCACACAAUGAAGCUACUAUCUCAGAGUCAAGUCCAUACUUAGCGCUAAAAUCACUAAAUGUACUUGUCUCAACAAAGGAUUUAACGCAAUCAAACAUGAAAUUCAUACCUGACUCCUUACCUUCUUCAAGCUCCCAAUCUUCAGAGUUGCGUUUAAUUCUCUCCAAUAAAUUCCAUUCGAAGUCAAUAUCUCUCUUCAUAAAAGAACCGGUACAAGAAGUGUCAAGCAUGGUGCGAUCAUCAUGAGAAAGCCGAGCAUAGAAGUUCUGAAUGAUAAUUUCUCUCGAGAGCUCAUGAUUGGGGCAUGAAUAUAGCACUGAUUUAAGCCUCCCCCAAGCUUGAGCGAUGCUUUCUCUGUCACGAGGCCAAAAAUUAUAAAUAUAAUUCCGAUCACGAUGUACUAAAUGCAUAGGAUAAAACUUUUGAUGAAAUUCCAAUUUCAACCGAUUAUAGUCCCAUGAUCCAGUAUCAUCACAUAGCCUAUACCAUGUCAACGCCUUAUCCUUCAAAGAUAAAGGAAAGGCCUUCUUCUUGACCUCAUCCUCGGGCACACCUGCAAGCUUAAAUAAACCGCAAACUUCAUCUACAAAGAUUAGAUGCAAGUCUGGGUGUGAUGUUCCAUCUCCUGUAAAAGGAUUAGCCAGCAGUUUCUCAAGCAUACCCGAAGGAAAUUCAAAGCAAAUAUUUUCAGUAGGUGCAGCAGGUUGAGGAGCAACUAUUUGUGCUUCCAUUCGAGGUGAAGAUACCCCGAACAAGCCCCUCAAAGGAUUAGUAUCCAUAGUGACAAGUGACAUUAAAUUUCAGCACACUAUAUGAAUGUUUCCUUACCAAGUUCCACUUACCAAAGGCGCUUCACUCCCCGGCAACGGCGCGAGAAAAGAGUCUUGAUGACCCACAAGUAUAGGGGAUCAAUCGUAGUCCUUUCGAUAAGUAAGAGUGUCGAACCCAACGAGGAGCAAAAGGAUCUGACAAGUGGUUUUCAGCAAGGAAAUAUCUGCAAGCACUAAAAUUAUUGGUAACAAGUGAUUGUGUGGUGAGAUGAUUCAUAGCGAGCAACAAGUAACAAAAGUAGUAACGGUGCAGCAAAGUGGCCCAAUCCCUUUUGUAGCAAGGGACAAGCCUGGACAAAGUCUUAUAGGAGGAAAAACGCUCCCGAGGACACACGGGAAUUUCUGUCAUGCUAGUUUCAUCAUGUUCAUAUGAUUCGCGUUCGUUACUUUGAUAGUUUGAUAUGUGGGUGGAUCGGCGCUUGAGUACUGCCCUUACUUAAACAAGCAUCCCACUUAUGAUUAACCUCUAUCGCAAGCAUCCUCUACUACGAAAGAAGAAUUAAGACAAAGUCUAACCAUAGUACUAAACUAGUGGAUCCAAAUCAGCCCCUUAUGAAGCAACGCAUAAACUAGGGUUUAAGCUUCUGUCACUCUAGCAACCCAUCAUGUACUUACUACUUCCCAAUGCCUUCCUCGAGGCCCAAAUAAUGGUGAAGUGUUAUGUAGUUGACAUUCACAUAACACCACUAGAUGAAAAACAACAUACAACACAUCAAAUUACCGAACGAAUACCAAAUUCACAUGACUACUAUUAGCAUGACUUAUCCCAUGUCCUCAGAAACAAAAGUAACUACUCACAAAGCAUAAUCAUAUUCAUGACCAGAGAGGUAAUGAGUAGCACCAAGGAUCUGAACAUAAACUCUUCCACCAAAUAAUCCAACUAGCAUCAACUACAAAGAGUAAUCAACACUACUAGCAACCUUACAAGUACCAAUCGGAGUCGCGAGACGGAGAUUGGUUACAAGUGAUGAACUAGGGUUUGGAGAUGAGAUGGUGCUGAUGAAGAUGUUGAUGAUGAAGAGUCCCCUCCGAUGAGAGGAGUGUUGGUGAUGAUGAUGGCGACGAUUUCCCCCUCCGGGAGGGAAGUUUCCCCAGCAGGAUCGUCCUGCCGGAGCUCUAGAUUGGUUCUGCUCAAGUUCCGCCUCGUGGCGGCGACGAAUCCACGAAAAAGCUCCUCUCUGAUUUUUUUCCAGACGAAACCCUUCAUACAGCAGAAGAUGGGGGUUAGUGGGCCAGCAGGCUUCCCACAAGCCCUCAUGGCGCGGACUAGGGGGGGGGUCGCGCCGUGCAGGCUUGUGGCCACGUGAUGGCGCCCCUCUGGUACUUCUUCGGCCCAGUAUUUUUUAUAAAUCCAAAAAAAAUCCUUGUUGAUUUUUACGGCGUUUGGAGUUGCGCAGAAUAGGUAUCUCAACUUUGCUCCACUUUCAGGCCAGAAUUCCAUCGGACGGCAUUCUCCCUCUUCAUGUAAACCUUGCAAAAUAAGAGAGAAAGGCAUAAGUAUUGUACCGUGAAGUGAAAUAACAGCCCAAGAAGCGAUAAAUAUCAACAUGAAAACAUGAUGCAAAAUGGACGUAUCAAUCAUCACGUGAUGAGGUGGUUUCAAUGGUGAACAUCUUCAUGUUGACCAUAUCUACUAUAUGACUCAUGUUCGACCUUUCGGUCUCUUGUGUUCCGAGGCCAUGUCUAUACAUUCUAGCCUCGUCAAGUUUAACACGAGUGUUCCUCACAUGCGAAACUGGCUUGCACCCAUUGUAUGCGAACGUAGAGUCUAUCACACCCGAUCAUCACGUGGUGCUUCCAAACGAUGAACUUUCGCAAGAGUGCACACUCGGGGGGAACACAAUUUUAGCUUGAAAUUUUAGUGAGGGAUCACCUUAUAAUGCUACGUCGUCCUAAGCAAAACAAGGUGCAUAAAAGGAUUAACAUCACAUCCAAAUCAUAAGUGACAUGAUAUGGCCAUGAUCUUGUGCUUUUGAUCUCCAUCUACAAAGCACCGACAUGAUCUCCAUCGCCACCGGCAUAACACCAUGAUCUCUAUCAUCAUGAUAUCCAUCAUCAUGUUACCGUCAGGGUUGUCGCUCCAACCAUGCUUCUACUACUAUUGCUACCAUUUAGCGAUAAAAUAAGAAUUACAUAACGCUUAAUGAUUGACACACAUGUCAUACAAUAAUUAAAAACAACCCUAUGGCUCAUGUCGGUUGCCGUAUGCAUCGACAUGCAAGUUGAUAUUAACUAUUACAACAUGAUCAUCUCAUGCAUCAGAUAUAUAUCAUCAUGUCUUUCGCCAUAUCAUAUCACAACAUACCUUGGAAAAACAAAUUAGACAUCCUCUAAUUUGUUGUUGCAUAUUUUACGUGGCUACUAUGGGUAUCUAGGAGGAAUUAUUCUUACCUGCGCAAAGCCACAAUGGUGAUAUGCAAGUUGCUAUUUAACCUUCUACAAGGACCGCCUUUGUCAAAUCUGAUUCAACUAAGGUGGGAGAGACACACACCCACCAGCCAUCUUAUGCAACAAAGUUACAUGUGAGUCGAUGGAACUCGGUCUCUCAUACAUGGAUGAGUAAAGUUGGUCUGGGCCGCUUCAUCCCACAAUACCGCUGAAUCAAGAAAAUACUAAGGAGGGUAGCAAUCUGAAUAUCAAUGCCCACAUACUCCUUUGUGUUCUACUGGUGAUGUCAUCUACGCAUAGACCUAGCUCAUGAUGCCAUUGUUGGGAAACGUUGCAUGGGAAACACAAUUUUUCCUACGCUCACCAAGAUAAACCUAGUAGAUGCACAUCUACGAGAAGAGAUAUUAAACCGACAUACCCUUGUAGAUCACUAAGAGGAAGCGUUCAAAAUGCGGUUGAUGUACUCGUACGUCUUCGCGAUCCUAUCACGAUCUGUCCCACGAACUUUCUGACCGAGCACCAAGCGGACGACACCUCCGCGUUCAGCACACAUGCAACUUGAUGGCGUCUCCGCCUCCUUGAUCCCGCAAGCGAGGGUGGAUUGGUAGAUGGGUUCCCUAGCAGCGCGAUGGCGUGACGGUGGUGGUGGUAUAGCUGUCCCGGCAGGGCUUCGCUAAGAACUACCGGAAUAUCUAGAGGAAGAGACGAUCUAGAGGGAGAGGGAGAGGCUGCACCAUCGCGUUGGGUGUUGCAGCCCUCCCUACCUUCUCAUAUAUAUAGGAGGACGGGUGGAGGCCGACGGCCCCUAGGGUUUCCCCUAGGGCUUGGGGCGGCGGCCAAGGUGGCUUGCCCACCAACGAAAGGUGGCGCCACCCAUGGGCAUGCCCUCCUCCUUGCCUUCGGCCGCAUGGGCCAUGGUGGGAGGGGCGGCCAGCCCACCAGGGGCUGGUGUGCCUCCUCUCACAGCCCAUGGGGCCAUACAGGGCAGGUGGACCCUCCCAGUGGACCCCCAGAACAUUUUUGGCACUCCUGUCACAAAACCGGUAUAUCCAGGAACUUUUCCGAACCUUGAAUACCAACUUCCUAUAUAUCAAUCUUUACCUCCGGACCAUUCUGGAGCUCCUCAUGAUGUACAGAAUCUCAUCCGGGACUCCGAACAACUUUCGGUUACCACCACACAUAACUCAUUAAUACCCAAUCUUCACCGCACCUUAAGUGUGCACACCCUGUGGGUUCGAGAAUUAUGCAGACAUGACCGAGACACUCUCUGGUCAAUAACCAAUAGUGGGACCUGGAUGCCCAUAUUGUCUCCUACAUAUUCCACGAAGAUAUUUAUCGGUCAAACCAUGAUGUCAAGGAUUCAAUCAAUCGCAUAUAUUGUUCCCUUUGUCCAUCCACAUGUUAGUUGCCCGAGAUUCGUUCAUACGUAUCUGUAUACCUAGUUCAAUCUCAUUACCAGCAAGUCUCUUUACUCUUUGCUUAAUACAAGAUCCUAGGGCUAAACCUUUAGUCACAUUGCUUGCAAGCUUGUUGUGAUGUUGUAUUAUCGAGUGGGCCCUGAGAUACCUCUUCGUCACACGGAGUGACAAAUCCCACUCUUGAUCCAUGCAACUCAACAGACACCCUCGGAGAUACCUUUAGAGCACCUUUAUAGUCACCAAGUUACAGUGUGGUGUUAGAUACACACAAGGUACUCCUCCGGUGUUAGUGAGUUGCAUGAUCUCAUGGUCAUAGGAACAGAUACUUGACAUGCAGAAAACAAUAGCAAUAAACUCAUACGAUCAUAUGCUACGUUCAUAGUUUGGGUUUUUUCCAUCAUAUCAUUCUCCUAAUGAUGUGAUCCCGUUAUCAAAUGACAACUCAUGUCUAUGGCCGGGAAACCUUGACCAUCUUUGAUCAACGAGCUAGUCCUUUAGAGUCUCACUAGGGAUAGUGUGUUGUCUAUGUAUCCACACAAGUAUUUGAGUUUCCGAUCAAUACAAUUCUAGCAUGGAUAAUAAACGAUUAUCAUGAACAAGGAAAUAUAAUAAUAACCACUUUAUUAUUGCCUCUAGGGCAUAUUUCCAGCAUAAAGAUAUAGACAUAUAUAUCCAACUGAAUGUGGGUGGUCAUGAGUUAUUAUUGUUGACAUCACCCUUGAGGCGAAUACGUUGGGAGGCGACACUAUAAGCCCCUAUCUUUUUAUGUGUCCGCUUGAAACCUUUUGCUCAUAUGUAUGCGGUGAGUGUUAGCAAUCAUAGAAAACUAAAUGAUGGUUGAGUAUGUAGACUUGCUUAAAAGCUCCGAUAUGUGACCCUUCCUGAAAGUAUGAUGAAUUGUGUUGCAAAGUUGACUGAAAACAUAGUUUGUUAGUUUUGAAUAGAUUUUAUGCUUCAUACUUCGAUGUUGUGACGAAUUGCUACUUGUUUAUAAGAAGCCUUUAUGAUGAAAGUUAUAUGAUGAAAAUGUUGUGAUGAAAUAUUUUAUAAAGUUCUACUUGAUGUUAUAAUAAUGAGCAUGAUGCUUCUAUGCCCAUUUUUUGUUUUUAUCGACACCUCUCUCUCAAAUCAUGUGGUCAUUAUUUACAUUAUCGGCCUUUGCUUGAGGACAAACGAGGUCUAAGUUUGGGGUAGUUGAUACAUCAACUUUGCAUCAUGUUUUGUUACUCUUAUUUAUUUUGUUUUUAUGCAUUUUGCCACUUGGUGGAGUAAUACUAACGCAUUUUCUCUCAUAAUAUGCAAGGUUUACAUCAGAAGGGAGAAUGCCGACAUAUGGAAGUUUGGACCAGAAAAAGCUACAUGAGAGAUACCUAUUCUGGACAUCUCCAAAUGGGUGAAACUUUACGUACCUUUAUUUUGGAAUAAAUAAGAAAUAGUGGAGCAAAGAAGUACCAAAGGGGGAUACCAUGCACCCACUAGGCACGAGGGCAUGCUAGCCCCCCCCCCUCACGCGGCGUGAUGUCUAGUGGGCCCCUGGCCCACGUAUGGCGACCAUCUUCUCGUAUAAAAAAUCAGGAGAGGACUUUCGGGACGAAGCAUCACCGUCUCGAGGCGGAACCUGGGCAGGAGCACUUGAAAGGACGUGGAUGUCGCCUAGAGGGGGGUGAAUAGGCGCUUUAAAAUAGUUACGGUUUGGGCUUGAACAAAUGCGGAAUAAAACUAACGUUUAAUUUGUCAAGCACAAAACCUAAAACAACUAGGCUCAACUAUGUGCACCAACAACUUAUGUUAAGAAAGAUAAACAACUAAGUGAUAGCAAGAUAUAUGACAAGAAACAAUAUGGCUAUCACAAAGUAAAGUGCAUAAGUAAAGGGUUUGGGUAAGAGAUAACUGAGGCACGCAGAGACAAUGAUGUAUCCCGAAGUUCACACCCUUGCGGAUGCUAAUCUCCGUUGGAGCGAUGUGGAGGCACAAUGCUCCCCAAGAUGCCACUAAGGCCACCGUAAUCUCCUCAUGCCCUCGGACAAUGCAAGAUGUCGUGAUUCCACUAAGGGACCCUUGAGGGCGGUCACCGAACCGUACAAAUGGCAACCCUGGGGUGCGGUCACCGGUACCCGUACAAAUUGCUCGGGGCAAUCUCCACAACCUAAUUGGAGAACCUGACGCUUGCCCAGAGCUUUACACCACAAUGAUUGAGCUCUGAGGCACCACCAAGCUUCUAGGACUCCAAAGCAUCCAUGAAGAACAAUCUCUAGGGUACUAAGUACCAAAAGGUAAUAAGCUUCUCAAACUUCACUUCCACGUAUCACCGUGGACACCUCAAACCGAUGCAGCUAAUGCAAUGGCAAGAACACACGAAGUGGCCAAGUCCCUCACACUCAAAUCCCUCCACAACAACAAAAGCUAUGGAGAAAUAUGAGAGGAAGAACAAGGAGCUCACAAAGAACUCCAAGAUCUAGAUCCAAGGGGUGCCCCUCACAUAGAGGAGAAAGUGAUUAGUGGAUAUGUGGAUCUAGAUCUCCUCUCUCUUUUCCCUCAAGAACUAGCAAGAAUCAUUGGAGGGAUUGAGAGUUAGAAAGCUCUAAGAAGGUCAACAAUGGGGGGAAGAACAUGAGCUCAACGGAUAGAUCAGUCCAAGGGGGAAGAAGACCCCCUUUAUAUAGUGGGGGAAGGAAUCAGACCGUUACCCCCACUUGCAGCCCGCGCACAGCGGUACUACCGAUGCCCCUAGCGGUACUACCGCUGCCCCUAGCAGUACUGCCGUUGGCGAGGAGCGGUACUACCGCUGUCCCUAGCGGUACUACCGCUGGUGAGGAGCAGUACUACCGCUAGGACACGAUAGUAAAGAUAUUACUCUCGGGCCUACCACCGCUUGGAAAAGUAUUCGCAAAAAGUCCGACGAAGUACAACCGCUCAGAGAGAGGUACUACAGUCCCGAAGCAGUACUACCGCCCACCCGGAGCGGUACUACCGCUAGGGAGCGGUACUACCUCUCGCCAAUGAAACAACCAUAACUUUCGCAUACGAGCUCCGAAUUGAGCAAACUCAAGUUUGUUGGAUUCAGCACGACAAGAGCUAUCCAAAAAGCAAAAACUCCAACAUCGAGAACAUCAUAGUAGAUGCAUAUGGACUCUGUUUUCGAUGAACUCGAGCUUGGCAUGAAGAUGACCAUAAGCUCUAAAACUCAUAAAGAGAAACACCAAAUAAGAACCAAGAAGUAUGAUGCAAGGAUCCAAAUGGUUUGAGCUCUCAACGAACGGUAUGAUCGAGCUACUCGCUUGAGAGACCCCUGUCACGCCCAAGAUGCGACCAUAUCCUCAAUUUGGCACGAGGGCCUCGUCAGGGAUAGAAGCGCAUCUCGUCGUGUCGCAAGAAUGGAUAUCAUUACAAGUACAUGUACUGAAAAGAAGAGAUAUAUAGAAUUGGCUUACACUCGCCACAAGCUACAUCAAAGUCACAUAAGUACAUUACAUAUUCAUCAAGAGUAAGAGCAGGGUCCGACUACGGACGAAAACAAACGACAAAAUAAGACCGACGUCCAUCCUUGCUAUCCCAGGUUGCCGGCCUGGAACCCAUCCUAGAUCGAUGAUGAAGAAGAAGAAGAAGCAACUCCAAAUGAACAAUCAACGCGCUCGCGUCAAGUAAUCUUUACCUGCACCUGCAACUGGUGUUGUAGUAAUCUGUGAGCCACAGGGGACUCAGCAAUCUCAUUUCCAAAGGUAUCAAGACUAGCAAAGCUUAAUGGGUGAGGCAUGGUUAAGUGGUGAGGUUGCAGCAGCGGCUAUGCAUAUGUUUAUGGUGGCUAACUUACGAGUACAAGAAGUAAGAGAGGGAAGAUCUACGCAUAAUGGACGUGAACUACUGUUGAUCAAAUAAAUGAUCCUAAACACCUACCUACGUCAGACAUAACCCACCAUGUCCUCGAUCGGAGAAAGAACUCACGAAAGAGACAGUCGCGGUUACGCACACAGUUGGCAUAUUUUUAAUUAAGUUAAUUUCAAGUUAUCUAGAACCAGUGUUAAACAAAGCUUCCACGUUGCCACAUAACCGUGGGCACGGCUUUCCGAAAGAUUUAACCAUGCAGGGGUGCUCCAACUAGUCCAUCAUAUACCACAAGCCACAUAGAAAUCCUCAAUCACGAAGCUCGCGAUCUCGUCGGAUUCCCUAGUGGAAAACCUCAACUCUGAGAUUACCCAAAGCAUCACCGGAAUCCCGAUGCAUCAAGAUAUUCCGUCAAAGGUAAAAACUAAUCCAGCAAGGCCGCCCGGCGUGUCGACGAUCCCGAUAGGAGCCGCGUAUCUCGUUCUCAGGACACGACGGAUGGAACUAGCUAUGGGUGCCAAACCUCGAGUUUCACUGUGGUGGCCCCGCAGGCAGACCGUUUGGGACCAACACCAUCAGCACUGGCCCCCCCUGUUUAUGUAAAAUUACUCCUCGGGUUCAUGACGCCCUAUGCAUUUCAAUAUUAACAAAGUUAUUAUGUUGGGCAAAUGUAGAACCAAUGUUGGGCCUUGCCGGACCAGCUUUAAUCUAAAAUGAAUUAUCAAGGGGGUCCCCAUAACAACCCCGAUCGUGUUAGGAGAGCUCGUUUAUGGAACAUAACACCGGUAGCCGGAAACUAAGGGGGCAAAGGUGGAACAAAACACCAGGCUAGAAAGGCUGAGCCUUCCACCUUUUACCAAGUAUAUAGGUGCAUUAAAUUAAAUAACAUUUAAAUAUGGUGAUAUAACAAGGAACCCAUGUUUUCACAUGGAAGCAACUACACCUGCAACUAGCAACGCUAACACAGGGUUUAGCAAGCGGUAACAUAGCCAAUCAGUGGUUUGCUAGGUCGAACAGGUUGAAGGUUAUCAUGGCAUUGUUGAGAGGCUGAUAUUUAACAAGUGGUAGGCAACGAGACAUAAUCGAUAGAAACGGUAAAACUAGCAUGGCAAUGAUAGUAAUGGUAUCUCGGGAAAUGAUCAUCUUGCCUGAGAUCCCGCUUGGAAGAAGAACAACUCGGUGGAGUCGGCAAACCAUCGUAGUCGAACGGGUCCUCACAUUCCGACACGCUUGCGGAACUCUAUCAAGAUGAAGCAAACCGGAAACACAAAUCAACACACGAUAUUCACCACAUGAUGCAUAACACAUAUGAUGCAUGAAUGGUCUAAUGCAAGGCAUGACAAUCACAACAAUCAAACACUACACAUUAAGUGAAGCUCGAUAUGCAACGGGUUGCAUAUCGACGAAACUCCACAUUUAAUGGUUUAGUUCACUCCCGUUAAUUUACACGGCAAUAUUUUAAAUGUUGUUAACAUGGCAAGGGGGUGAAGCACUAAUUAAUCUAUCUAUCUAGGCAUUUUAAAUGAGGCCGAAAGCAACUUAUAGCAUCUCCAAAAUGACCCCACACGUUAAAUUCUAAUUCUGUCCAGAUUUGUCCUAAUCACAUUUUAGGUUUGUUAAACGGCCAGAUUUGUCCUAAUCACAUUUUAGGUUUGUUAAACGGAAAAACAAAGUGGUUCACGUGUUUCUAUUCGUCGUUGUGGUCCACUUACAUAUAUGGCACAUCUCCAACGGAGCUACGGACAAAUAGUUACGACCUAAACCGUUUCAACACGUCGACGCACAAACCAAUACAAACUCCACACUAAACAGCUUUAAGCAUGCAUGAGAGUUGAAAAAUAUUAAUCUACGUGAAAUUCUAUAUGUUUUACAUAUCUAACUUAUUCCGAUCCGACGCACGGUUUAAAAUCUACGGCAUUUUAAAAAAAAUGCAUGUGGUGGAAAAUGCUAAAUCUACACAGGUGGAAAAAACCCAUGCAUGGGCCCGAAGCAGCAUAGUGCAGCGGCCCAAGAGUAAAUCGGGGCCAAAUGCCCAUGUGUGUGUGUGUGAAAGAAAAUAAAAGGCAAAGCCAAAAAUUGGGUGGAUCUGGAGUCGAACCCAGAACCUCCCUCGUGUUAGCGCUGCUCACUAACCAGCUGGGCUACGAAGUGAUUGCAACAGUAGAUGGGUUUUUCUCAAAAUGAAAAAGCAAAGGGGCCAACCUGUACCAAUAACAUAACAAACUAAAAAUAGGGGUGCAUGGGAUUUGAACCCAAGACCUUGCGGUUGCACACUAAGGCGCUCACCAGCUGGGCUACAUCGAGCUUUGGAACAAAAUGGAUGUCUACGCGAGAUGAACUAGAAUGUAACUCUGAUUGAACCAAACUGAAUAUACAAACAGACAUGGCUUUCUCUGCUACCGUGCUUGAGGAUGCAGGUCCGUACCAUGUCGCUGGGGAUGCAGGCUGCGGAUGCUGCGGUGAUGCCGGCAUGGGGUCCAGGCGAGGCGAGGGAGGCGGAUCCGGGGCGUCUGCUCCAUUCCCAAAGACGGGGACCGUCGAGGUCGAUCACAGCAACGGCAGCAUGAAGCUCCAUCGGGCUGGCCUUCACACAGAGCUGCAGCGUGCUUCUCUGCAUCACGGGAACAAGGAGAGGAAGAGGUCAAGGGGAGAGAGAGAGGAGGCAGGGAGGGAAGAGAAGGGAGGGGCCUGGCCUGGAUCGCUGCUGGAGGACUGAGCUGCUGGCGCUGGGAGGAACCGCAGCGCUGGUCAACGCGCGGGGAGGCCAGGCGGGCGACGCGCUCGCGCCGGCUCCACACGAGGAGCAUGUGGCGGCGCUGGCACGAGGCGCUAGGAGGUGGCUGUCUCAGCGGGGCCCGAUCUGGAUCCCCAGAUCGCGGGAAGAACGGCCCUGGCGAAGCCACCUGACGCGCGGGGCGGCUCGGUUUUGCCUCCCGAUCUAGAGGCUCGAACCAGAUCAAGCGAAGGCGAUGCUACCGAGGCUGCUGUCGACAGGAGACGCCGAAGGACACGGGCGGAGCCUGCUGCGCGAGCGGGGACGCGGCAUGCGCGGGCUCGGGGAUCGAGCGGAACUGGCGGCUGGCUCGCAAAUCGGGAAGUGACUACGCGGGUUGUCUGGUGGGGAAAACUAGGAAUGGAUCUGGCGCCCGAUUGGGGUGGAGGAAAAAUCGAGGAAGAAGACCAGGUGAAGUGCGGUGGCGGCAGAUGGGACUGAUUGGACUAGGGUUUGCCUGCUUAAAUAAUUAGGUGGGCUUGGAUAGGACUGACUGGACCCUCCGAUAUAAAUCGGACGGUCGAGAAUGAAUAGGCUAGGGAGUCCAAUGGACAAACCGAUGACUGAUUGCGGUAAAACGGGGUUGAUCCGGAUCCAACGGUCACGACCGCCGGGCUCGGGUUCCGGGAGGUUUUCGGACUGGAUUGCGCGUAGGGUCGACGCACUGUGCAGAGGGGCUAGGCAAAGAUGAGAGGGAAAACGAGCAACCCGGUGACAGAGUUUGAAAUACCGCAACGUCCGACAAUUGACCGGCUAUAGUGCCGCUAUAUAAUAAACGGCACGGGUAACAAACUAGCUCCGAUCGCGAUGAAAUUCGACAGACGGCCUACCUACACUAAAUUCAGACUGUACGCCAAGUUCCAGCUCAAUCGGAGAAAGUUUUAAACACGUUAUAAAAACAAGGUCUUGACGAUGCGCGGGCGCGUGCGAGUGUGGUCGGGCGUAGAACGGACAACAACGAGAACCGGCAACUAAUAACGGAUGCAAGUUUUGAAAACUAGCGGCAACGGGAUACCGAUGCAAUGCUGAUGAUGCGCAUGAUGCGAUGAUGAUGCGACAAAUAAAAAUAGACACGCGACGAAAACGGAAAGAGAGGGGAAUCUUCUGGAACAUUGGCAUCGGGCUGUCACAACCCCCUUGACAAUACGUCAAUCUAUCCUAAAACAGAAAACCUAUCAAGGGCAAACCUAUACCUUGCACCUCGUCCUCUUGAGCUAGAUGACGAUGAUCUUGGCUUCCUCAAGAUGGACCACCUUCUUGAUUGUGUUGGCUUGAUGAAGACUAGUUGAUUGCUCCCCCAUACACAACAUGGGUGAGCCGCUCUUCGGCAUAUCUUCACAAGUCCAUUGCCACCACAAUGGAUGACAAGCUUCAAUCAUGAUAUCUUCGUGCUGAUCCACUUGAACUUGCAAACCGCAAUCUUGAUGACGAUCACAACUUGAUGUCAUCCUUCAUGGGCUGUAUGAGAUCUUCCUCUAGACGCAAGCCCAUGGAAACACACCUAACCCCACAUAGAACUCUCACGAAGACCAUGGGUUAGUACACAAACACGUAAUGAACAAUGCUUACCAUACCAUGGGAUCACUUGAUCCCUCUCGGUACAUCUUGUACGCUUUGUGUGUUGAUCAUCUUGAUUUACUCUUUGUCUGACGAUCUUGAUCAACCUUGUGUCUCUAUGACCAUUCUUUGGAUAAUACCUUGAAUACCACCUUAGUCAUCAUAUAAACUCCUUGAACCCAACAGAUGGACUUCAAGAAGUUCCUAUGGACAAAUCCUAAAAAUAUAACUUAAGGCAACCAUUAGUCCAUAGGAAUUGUCAUCAAUUACCAAAACCACAUAUGGAGAAAUAUGCUCGAACAACACUUUUGCCCUCCGGCGGAGCGAUUCCGCUGGACGAACUUCCCUCCCGAAGGGGGAAAUCGAGGCCAUCAUCAUCACCAACAACCCUCUCAUCUUGGGGAGGCCAUUCUUCAUCAGCGCCAUCUCCUCUCAAAACGCUAGUUCAUCUCUUGUGCUCAAUCUUGUACCGGAACCUCAGAUUGGUACCUCGGGUGUGACUAGUAGUGUUUAUUACAUCUUGUAGUUGAUGCUUUAUGGUUUAUUUGGUGGAAGAUCAUAUGUUCAGAUCCAAUAUGCUAUUUAAUACCUCUCUGACCAUGAGCAUGUUUAUCACUUUUGAUUAGUUGCCUUUGUUCUUGACGCCACGAGACAAGUCAUGUUGCAAGUAGUCAUGUGAAGUUGAUAUUUUGAUGAUAUGAAUGUUGUGGUUCCCUUAGUGGUGUUAUGUGAACGUCGACUACAUAGCACUUCACCAUCUUUGGGCCUAAGGGAAUGCAUUGUGGAGUAGUAAUUAGAUGGUGGGUUGCGAGAGUGACAGAAACUUAAACUCGAGUUUAUGCGUUAUUCCGUAAGGGGCUAAUUUGGAUCCCUAUGUUUAAUGAUAUGGUUAGAAUUUAUUCUUAAUACUUUUCCAUAGUUGUGGAUGCUUGCGGGGGGGAGGGGGUUAAUCAUAAGUGUGAGGUUUGUUCAAGUAAGAACAACACCCAAUCACUAGCCCACCCACAUAUCAAAUUAUCAAUGUACCAAACGUGAAUUAAUCCAAUAUUAGGAAAGUGUCUAGAUGAAAUUUUUGUGUGCCCUCAAGAACGGUUUGCCUAUUAUAAUUAGUUGUUCCUGCCACAUAAGGAUUGGGCUACCAUGGUGCACCUAUUGUUACUAUUAUUACUUGGAACUUGUGUGACAGCCCGAGACCGACGCUCCAGAAGAUUCCCUUUUAUUUCAUUGACGCCGUGUUAUAAUUGUCUGUCGCAUUUAUCAUUGCAUCAUUCGCAUCAUCUGCAUUGCAUCAACACUCCGUUGCCACCAGUUUCAGACUUCCAUCCGCUAUUAGUUGCCGGUUCUCUCCGUUAUAGACAUUGAUCGUUUUGAGUCUGACCACACACGCACGCGCCCGCGGCACCGUUCAAAUCCUGUUUUUAAAAGUGUGUUUGAAAUAUUCUCAGGUUGUGUUGAAACUUGGCGUGCGGUAUUAUUUUAAUAUAGGUAGACCACCUCGCAAUUUUCGUCGCAAUCGGAGUCCGUUUGAUACCCAAACGUCCGACCGUAGCGGUACCGACAUCGGCUUAUCAUCACACGUUUUCGGUGUUUUAAAACUCUGUCACCGGGUGCCCGUUAUCCCCUCUCAUCUCAGCCUACACCCCUCUACACGGCCUAACCUAAUCUUAGGAUGUUUCCGGAGCCGUCCGAUCGAGAUUGGAGGGUCCGAAAAUGCCCGAAACCCUAACCCUGGCCCCUCUGUCUAUAAAUAGACAACAUUCCUCUCUCUCCCUUGUUUCCCGUACCUCCCCAAACCCUAGUCGCCACAGCCAGCCUCCUCCCACCUCCUGCCAACCGCCAGGACCUGCCCGAGCCCAGAUCCGGCCCUCCCCGGGCCCGGGUCGCGUCGCUGCCAGCCGCCCAAAGCUGCCUCCAACCCAGCUCCUCCUGUGCACUUCCCCGAGCUCCUCCUGAGCAGGAGCUAUUGCGCCUCCCAUGUAUUUUAUAGUAGUUCCUUACAUUUUUGCAUGCAGGAGCCGACAAUAGUUUGCCAUGUCGUGUUUAGGACAUAUUCUUGCAUACAUGUGUGGCGUUAGUUUUAUUUUGCAUCCCCACAUAUUAUAUAUGCUUUGGGGGUAGAAAAAUCCAUAGAAUUUAACUAUGCGUUUAGUUUUGCCGUCCGAGUAAUUUUGCGUGCAUGAUAUCUUGCCAUGUUGCCCUCUUAUUUAUUUUAUGGGAUUUAUUCCGUGCGUGAUAUGAAUUAGUUGUGAACUAGAGAUAUGCCCUUGGAUAUGUAUGCUAGCCCCUAGUAAUUUUGGUUGCUUUAGAAAUCCAUGUUUAGGUGUUGUUUGCUUGUCGCCAACAUGCUAGAAAUAGUGCUGAUUUGGAGAUGCUGAAAUAUUUCUAAGUCUGAGAUCUGUUAUAUUUUGUUGUUGUCUUGCCAUGAGUUUUGCUAGUGAUCUACAGCUCCUUUGAGGUUGGUGCAAUGGAGUUAAUUGUAGUACUUAAGAUUCACUAGCAUGCUGCCAAUUUUCAUGCCAUUCGGUGCCCCGUAGAAUAAAGUUUUACUGCUGUCAAUAUGCCUUCUGGUUGAAAAUUACACUGUCAAAACUGUUAUUUUCUCUAAGUCUGAAACUGUGUGCGAGAUGCCAUUUUGUGAAUUCUUUUCCUAGUGACCCAUGCUUCCAUGCUAGUUGUUUUUACUAGAGUGUUGUUGUGCAUCUUGAUCACUACUGCCUCAUGUUUUGUUUGCAUGUUUUAGAAUUAUGUUGUUGUUGUUUUAGGGUGCGGAAAAUGCCAUGUCGUUGUUUUUCGCAGAUUGUAGCUAUUUCUUGUUUUUCUUUUAUUUGUUGAACCGUUGCGCCGUUUUGUACGUGUCAUAUAUGAAACUUUCUUAGAAUCUCGUGUAGUUUCAUAUUAUAUUGCUGCUUGUAUGGUUUAUAAUGCUUGUGGUUGUCAUUUGCAUACAUACUGCAUUCAUGUCAUCAUAUCUUGCGGUGAUCAUAUCUUUUGAACCGUAACUCCGUUUGCAAUGAUCUCUAUGUGUUAAUUGAUUGAAACGACGCGUAGAAUCACGUGAACCACUUUAUUUUUUUGUUUAACAAAUAUUAAAAUAUGUUAGUUCAGAUCUGGACAUAUUCUAAUUUAACGCGAGGGGUCGUUUCGGAGAUGUUAUAUGUCGUUUCUGACCUCAUUUAAAAUGCCUAGAUAGGUAGUUUAGUUACGCUUCACCUCUUGCCAUGUUUAACAACAUUUAAUAUUGCCAUGUACCUAAUCAGGAUAGAACUAAAUAAUUCAUAUGUGGAGUUUCAUCAAUAUGCAACUCGUUGUAUAUUGAACUUCACUUAAUGUGUAGUGUUUGAUUGUUGUGGAUGGCAUGCCAUACCCUGCACAACUGUAUCCGAUCAUGCAUCAUACGUGUUGUGCAUUAUGCCGUGCAUGUGCCGUGGUGAAUUUCGUGUGUUGAUUCUUGUUUCCGUUUGCUUCGUCUCGAUAGAGUUCCGCAAGUGUGUCGGAAUGUGAGGAUCCGUUCGACUACGUCGGUUCGUCUACUUCACAGAGUCAUUCUUCUUCCAAGCUGGAUCCAAGGCAAGAUGAUCUUUUCCUUAGAUACCAUUACUAUCAUUGCCAUGCUAGUCUUAUCAUUUCUAUCGUUAUGUCUCGCUGCCUACCACCUGUUAAAUAUCAGCCUCUCAACAUUUCCAUGAAAACCUUCAACCUGAUCACAACCUAGCAAACCACUAAUUGGCUAUGUUACCGCUUGCUUAACCAUAAGUUGGCAUUGCUAGUUGCGGGUGUAGUUGCUUCCAUGUGAUAACAUGGGUUCCCUGUUAUAUCACCAUAUUAAUGCUAAUUAAAUUAAUGCACCUAUAUACUUGGUAAAAGGUGGAAGGCUCGGCCUUUCUAACCUGAUGUUUUGUUCCACCUUUGCCGCCUUAGUUUCGGCUACCGGUGUUAUGUUCCAUAAAUGAGCGCUCCUAACAUGCUUGGGGUUGUUAUGGGGACCCCCUAGAUUCUCGUUUUGGGAUAAAGCUCGUCUGGCAAGGCCCAACAUUGGUACUAUAUUUGCCAACAACAUAAUUCUGUUAAUACUAAAAAACAUAGGGAGUUAGCGCUACCCGAGGAGUAAUUCAACAUAAUACAGGGAGGGCCAGUGCUAAUGGUGAUGGUCGAAAAUAGAGCACCGUGCGGGACCAACCCGGGGCAACUCGGGUGAUGUCUAUCAGGCCAUCCUACACUUCGCUUAUCUGUCAUGCCUGAGAACGAGAUACGCGGCUCCUAUCGGGAUUGUCGACACGCCGGGCGGCCUUGUGGGACUUGUUUUACCUUUCUCGAGCGUCUUGCGCGUGGGAUUCCGAGGAUGCUUUGGGUUAUCUGGAGGUUGAGGUUUUCCAAUAGGAACCCGAGUAGAUCAUGGGUUUCCCUGAUCGAGGUCAUUCUGUCGCAGCGUGUGGUAGUUUGUGAUGGACUAGUUGGAGCACCCCUGCAGGGUUAAAUCUUUCGGAAAGCCGUGCCCGCGGUUAUGUGGCAACAGGGAAACUUUGUUUAACAUCCGGUUCUACAUAACUUGAAGUUAACUUAAUUUUCCAACUGAGUGCGUAACCGUGACUGUCUCUUUCGUGAGCUCCUUCUCCGAUCGAGGACACGGUGGGGUUAUGUCUGAGGUAAGUAGGUGUUCAGGAUCAUUCAUUUGGUUAUCACUAGUUCACGUCCGUUAUGCGUAGAUCAUCCCCCUCUUUUAUUCUUGUACUCGUAAGUUAGCCACCAAAUAAAUGCUUAGUCGCUUGUUGCAGCCUCACCACUUAACCAUACCUCAUCCAUUAAACUUUUCUAGUCUUGAUACCUUUGGAAAUGAGAUUUCUGAGUCCCCUGUGGCUCACAAAUUACCACAACACUAGUUGCAGGAACAGGUAAAGAGUUACUUUGACGUGAGCACGCUGAUUGUGCUAUUUGGAGUUUCUUCAUCUUCAUUAUCGAUCUAGGAUGGGUUCCAGGCCGGCAGCCUGGGAUUGCAAGGAUGGACGUCGUUCUUUUAUCGUUUGUUUCCGUCCGUAGUCGGACCGUGCUCUUCUUCAUGAUGAUUGUAUGUAUUAUACUGGUGUGACUCUGAUGUAGCUUGUGGUGAGUGUAAGCCAACUCCUUAUACUCAUCUUUUCAGUACAUGUACUUGUAACAAUAUCCAUUCUCGUGAAACGACGAGAUGCGUUUCUAUCCCUGUCGAGGCCCUCGUGCCAAAAUAAGAUUAGGACCGCAUCUUGGGCGUUACAACUUGUUACCGCUAUUUCAGUGCUUGCAGAAAUUGCCUUGCUAAAAAUCGCUUGUCAUUUCCAUCCGCUCCUCGUUGGGUUCGACACUCUUACUUAUCGAAAGGACUAUGAUUGAUCCCCUAUACUUGUGGUUCAUCAGGUACCAAUCAAUUUUACAUUCUAGAUAACGAACUUCAAAACUUUGGUGAGAGAAAGAAACCCAUGGAAGCAUGAUGUUGAAACAUUUGAGCGCUUCAGUCCACCAAGCUACUCAUAACAGUCACCAAUGUAUUAUUUUUCGCAACUUUACAUUUUUAUGAAGGAAGCAACUUUAUCUCAUUUUUGUGAUCUCAUUUGUCCUCCCUAUUUUUUCUCGCAGAUUUGGUUGUGGCAUCUUUCUAUUCUAUACAUGGAGAAUUUAACUGCCAAGGGGUUGAAGCCAUUCAAUAGAGUAUGAUUCACACUCCUUUUUCUCUAUUUUCGCAAUCUAUGCAACACUAGUAGUACAAAGACACUGUGCAACACUAGUAGUAAAGAAACACUGUGCAACACUAUAAUCAUUUUUGUGAAAUCAUCUUUUCUGCAAUAGUAUUUUUUUCCUAGCUAGUAGUUUCUCAUGAUCUGUUUUUCUUGUUGUGUAUGCUCAAGACAAAAAUCCUUGCUCAACUUCCAGAAGUACAUUGCCGCAAAGUUUUUCAAGCACCUGCAAAACACCCUCGGCUCAGAGGAGGAGUUCCAAGCCCUGCUGAAAAGGUCAUAAAUUGAUGCGAACCCUCAACCACAACAGGACCUUGCUAGUAGUUAGGCCUCUUUUUUCCGGUGCAUGUAUGUGCGACAUGUUUGUAACCGAGCUCUCUAGUAGUCCAUGGAACUAAAUUUUUGGAUAAGAAUGUGUCAUGCUCGGGCAUGCCCCCUUUUUCCUCUUGUUUUUUGUAUGCUGGAGCUUUAUAGAUGCAACCAAUUUUUUGCUAAUGCUUCGGUGUUGCAUACCUAUAUAAGUGUAGACAUGAUAAUCAAAUGGUUGUUACAUUUUCCUAGUGUGUAUCAUUUUGGGGUAUGGGAGCACUUGCUGCAUGAUAAUUCUUUCAAUGGAAAAAUCUUCUAUUACCAUCGUCUCUCUGUAGCAUGAUCCUUUGAUCUAUAUUAUACCCUAGCAAAAUCAACAAUUGACUGCAUUUUCCCAUCACAACAUCAUGUCCGUGUAAUAUGAACACAUGAAUACAUGUUCCUGUAACAUCACCCAAAUGAUAGUCCCUUCAUGUAAGAUUAUGUUUUUCUUGAAAUAAGAAUACAUUAUCUAUUUUUCAUGGAUGCAUCCCUCGAGCAAUCUAACCACAUAAGCUAUUUUUCAUAAUAUUUUUUUUGCCAAAUGAAAAACUUGGUGAUGUACUGGAAACAUAACCCAACUGAAAAUACAUGUCACAACAUCAUGUUCGUGUAUCAUGUCUUGCAAAUGCAAUUUAUACGUCAUCAAGUUUGCAAAAUAGAAGUUCAUGUAUCAAACACGGGGAGCAAGUACAUAUUGCUUUACAAGAUGAAAAGAAAACAAAAACGCGGCUGUCGGGGGUCUUCCCCAUGUUUCUCUCAUUUUUUUGUCUAGAGCUUCACUUGCAUCACUUGGGCAAUUUUUGGAUCAUUUGCCAUCACGUCUCUCAAGUACUAACAUUCUCGUACUGCAUGUCCAGCUCUAGAGCAGAACUAGCAUUUUGGGGGUGCUGUCGCCGCCUCCAUCGUAGCUUUUAGGGGGCACAUGUUUGGAAAUUGUGUCCUAGUUUGUUGCAGUGCUUGCAGGGAACAAUCCUAUUUACACCUCUUGGCUUUCCUGAUGUCGUUGCCUUAUUCUCUUCUUCUUUUGCCUUCUUUUCUUGUUCAUCAUCUCGCUGCUCUACUAGCGUCUUAUUUCUCUUCUCUCUGUCAGUUUAUCAGCCUUUCUUAGGGACACGAGUUGGGUUUUGUAGCAUAUCCGAACUUUGAUAUUAUCGCAGGUUAUCAUUCAAUGUUAUCGUUGUUGCAGCGGGUGAUGUUGGGGGUUCACUAUGUUGUAUUUCUUGUUGAUCUGGAAGUGCUCCUGUCUUCACCGCUGUUAUGGCAGGCUCAAGAACUUUUAAUGCUUCAUAUAAUAUUUUGUAGGCAUCAUCAUUGCAACAUGCAUUACAGGCAAGCCAUGUUAACCUUGGAUACAAGGAGUUGUAUUUUAGCGUGUUUGUCGUGGGGUGCCCAAAGUCCAGCCACCGACCAGUCCUUCGAUGCUUGUUGUGGCUGAUUCAAACCACCUCUCCAACAUGUAUUUUUGCGGAAUUACUUAGACAUUGAGAUGAACCAUUUCCCUUAUUAUGUGUGAACAAAUCAGCCCAUUCAUCUCAAAGUAGUGGCAGCUAUAUCUAGACACCCCUUCAUCCAUCAUAACAUGCAUAGAAUAUAGCUUUGGGUUCUCAUGGGAGCUUGAUUUUAGCUCAAACAAGAGGCCUUGCCCUUGGUAGUCACUGUCUUGGUUGAUAAUAAAAUCGAUAGAUGCAGUCACAUAUUUCUCAAACUUACCAAAGACGCUACAAGUGUAGUAAGCAGCAAUUUGGCAGUCAAUGUUGUACCUGCAACAUCAUAAGAAAUUGGUCACAAACUAGAACAUAGUGGCAUAGUUGUUGUUUCACAAGUGAAUACAGAAUUGUCCUCACGAUUAAGCAUAGUUUCUUGGUAGUUGGCACAUUCAUAUUAAUGCAUAAACCUCCGAACAAAAUCAGCGGGUCAAAUCAGGGUCUUGAAAUAUGAGUUGAGCCCCUCAUGCAUGCUUGUUGUGCUCGCGAAUGGGAAGAAUUUGUUCUUGAAGUAUGUUGGAGCCUAAUAUGUCUCCAACGUAUCUAUAAUUUUUGAUUGUUCCAUGGUGAUAUAUUAUCUUUUAAUAAUACUUUUUGGGUAUUUAUUUACCAAUUUCUAUUAUUUUAUAGCGCUAAUCUAUUUACCCAGUGCUCAGUGUCAAUUGUCGUUUUCUGCAUGCUUUUCACUUUUCAAGUUUUCCAUACCAAACGAAGUCCAAUUACCCUGAAACUUAAAGAAGACCGGGGAGUAUCCGAAGAAGGCUAGAGGCCGCACGAGGGGCCCACACGCCAAUAGGGUGUGGCCUAGGGGUGCCCUGAUGGCUUCUGCCUCCCUCGUGGCCCUCCUGAUUCCAUUCUAUGGCUUAUAAAUUCUCAUCUGCCCUAAAAACAUCAGAAGGAGUCCUCAAACACUUUUUACACCAUCGCAAGUCUCUGUUCUGACGGGAGGCCAUCUGGAGCUCCGUUCCGGCACCCUCCCAGAGGUGUGAUCGAUCACGGAGGGUCUCUUCAUCAACCUUGUUGCCCUAACGAUGAUGUGUGAGUAGUUCACCACAGACCUAUGGGUCCAUAGCCAGUACCUAGAUGGAAAUCUCUCUCUCUCUCGCUCGCUCUCUCUCUCUCACUCUCUCUCUCUCUCUUAUCUUCAAUACAAUGAUCAUCGCAUCUUCGAUUUGAUCCACAUGAUGUAAUUCCUUUUGUGUAGUGCAUUUGUUGGGAUCCGCUGAAUUGUGGGUUGAUGUUCAGAUUAUUCAUUAUUAAUAUUUGAGUAUCCUAUGAAUACUUAUAUGGUUCUUUUGUGCAUGAUUAUGAUAGCUUCGUAAUUCUCUCCGAUCUAUUGAAAUUGUUUGGCCAACUAGAUCGAUAUUUCUUCGGUGUGAGAGGUGUGUUGUGGUAGGUUCAACCUCGAGAAUUUCUAUAUCCCAGUGGCAGAAGGGGACAAGAUGUGUCUUUGUGUUGCUUCUACUAAGUAUAAAAUGAUGGGGUUUAUACAUAUUGCUUGAGUUUACCUUAUGUACAUCAUGUCAUUGUUCUCCAUGCAUUACUUUGAUUUACUUAAUACUCUAGAUGCAUGUUGGAUAGCGGUCGAUGAGUGGAGUAAUAGUAAUAGGUGUAGGCAGGAGUUGGCCUAUUUGUUUAUGGACGUAAUGCAUAUAUACACAUGAUCAUUGCCAUGAAUAUCACAUAACUAUCCGCUUUUCUCUCAAUUUCCCAACAGUAAUUUGUUUACCCAUCGUAUGUUGUUUUUCAUGAGAGAUGCCAUUAUGGAAAACUAUAGCCUCCCGGUUUAUUCACGAGAUAUUGAUAAAACCUUCAACACCUUGCUGCCAUUUACUUGUUUUUAUUUUAUCUUGCUAUCUGCAAUUCUCUACACACCUCACUUUCUUGCAAAUAACAAUACAAGAGGAUUGACAACACUCUUGCCCGCGCUGGGUGCAAGUUGGUUGUUCUUUUGUGUGCAGCCGCUGAAGUGGGUUGUGGUUGAUAUUCCUAUUGGUCCGAUAAACCUUAGUUUCAUAACUCAGGGAAAUACUUACCCACAUUGUGGUGCGAUAACCUAUUCCUCUUGACGGAAAACCCAACACACAUCACAAGUAUCAGAGCCCAUGUGUGCCUUGUGCACCACAUGUUCUUCAUAUGUUUGUUCCCAUCCACUUGAGAACAAUGCAACAUGUUCUACCUUGUUUCCUGAAAUUACUCAACAAUUUCAGAUUAAUUGACAAAAGUGUAAAAGUAAAACACAUCUGCAAAUGCCUCAUCUCCGCUCAACACCGUUCCCAACUCAGAACGUGCAUUGCUAAGCACAUGAAACUUGCAACACCUAUGACAAGUGUUUGGGAACACGUGAUCAGAGGUUGCUGCCAUCGCUACGUCCUGGUUAGUCACGAUGUUGGUAGGAUGCUCAUUAUCCAUCGCAACCAUCCACUACUCAAACACCCACUUAAAUGUUUCAAUAGUUCCAUCUGGCAACAAGGCGUACCCGAGUGCAAUUUUAUGGAGGUCGUUGUUGACACCAACUAUAGGAGCAAAUGGCAUGUUAUAUCAAUUGAUGUAGAAGGUUGCUUGAAGAAUACACAAUCUUUAUAUUUCGGGUGUAAUGACCUUGCUCUCCCAUCAACCCAAAAUAAGACAGUCAUUAAGUGUGUUGCAGCAUCUUACUGCUUCGCAUAGAAAAACUCUAGAUUCUCAGCCUUCCUCCUCUCAAAGUACUUCACUGACAUAUCCAUGUCUCGGAAUGUUAACCCUUCCCGGAGUGUUUAUUUGAAACAUAUCUCUUCACAUAUGGCAGUAUCCUAGUGUCACCUCCACGGAUACUACCAAGGACGCCCAUGCAAUCUGAAUUUGAGAGGCUCACAUCAUCCAACAUGAACAAGAGUUGGUAAUCCUCGACAGGUAUGCUGCGGUGCGAGCGGUGGUACCUAACACGCUUCAGCUGUUCCAUCAGUGGAUGCGUAUGCUCCCCAACAAAGCAAGUCACUAUCCAUCUCUCCUCCCUUAGCCAACAAACAUAUGCGUCUUACAAUCAUGACAGAGCAUCCUAGUUUUUGACGUUUUCUUGUUACAUCCAUCCCUUCACUAGGUUGACUUCUAGAGUUGUUCUUUUCCGCUGCAAUGCUCUCUCAUGUGCUUCUCGUUUCAGUUUUACCGGGCUUUGUAGCGUGCCCACAUGCAAAUACCCUCUUUAUCAGUAUUGCAUCCUCUUUCUUCUGGCCUCUCUUCUGAUUGAAUUUGAAGUAGAUAUAUGUGUCCCGAACCCCAACUUGAAGGCAUAGUCUUUGUAGAACUUCUUAGCAUCCUCAACUGUGUCAAACACCAUCCGAACAUAGGGCAGUACUGGCUGCGCCGAAACAUCUCCAUCAUCUGAAUCAUCUCGGAUUGCAUGUUUAGAAUAGAACAAUCCCUCUGAAUCUUCAUCACCACCAACAAAAAAAUUGCCUUGGACAUUGCUCCCUUCCCUUUAGUUCCAGGUUCAUGCAACACAGUUGUUGUGCAACAUUCAUUUCAUCUCUCCAUGGAAUCAACACAUUUUUAUCUUGUUUUAGAAAAUCAGAUACACAACAGAAACAUGCAACAUACUCAAAUCAACACAAACUCCACAUUUUAUCUUAUCAUUUUUUCAGGGGUCCAUGAACAUGCAACAUACACAAUCAAAUCACACCAGAAACAUGCAACAUACUCAAUGUGUUUUUUCUGAAACAUCAUACACAAUGAAAUCAAACCAAAGACAUUGUUCUGUUAUCAACAACAAGUUUCAGAACAUGGAAGAAUGCAACUAAAAAUUUUGAGGCUCAUAUUUCACACAUACAACAAGCAGGACAUGUGGAAUACAUCUAAUGUUUCAGAAAAUUUGGAGCCUCAUGUGCAACUAAAAAUUUGGAGGCUCGUUGCUUUGUUUGUUCACAAAGGGUUUCAUGUUUGAGAGUGGAACAUAGCUAAUGUUUCAGAAACAGGAUCUCACCGAGGAUUGUUGAUGGGAUUUGGUCAAUGGAGCUUCAAAAAACAGCACCAAGGGAUUUGUGAACCAAGAUGAAACACCAACUCAUGACAAAAGCCCCUGGGUGGCGCUUGGUGCUGAGAAAGAUGGUCGUGCUUGUUCUCGAAUUAGGGCUCCUCUGUGAGCUAGAUUUGCGUAGGAUCCCACCAUCUCGUGCGCGAUAUGUUGCGCCAUGGUGUUGCAGAGAGGUCCCCCACGUCGGUGACGGGGGAGGCGCCGCGCUGGACACGGGUCUAUCGGGGCCGUGGACAAUGCGGUUGUUUUUGCAACAGCUUUCAUGUUGCGGGAAUUAGGGCACGAGAUCGAUCGAACACUGUCGGCGCGGAGAUCCAGCCACCAUUAUCGCCCCUUUUUUAACUCCUCAAAUUUGAUGAGUUGAGCCUCUCUUUUUUUAAGGGGCUAAAUUUUAGUAUGUCAGUUAGAAAUGUCUAGGUGCAAUGGUAUGACAUGAUCACACGACAAAGAAACUAUCCAUGGUAACAAAAAUGCAAAGAUACUGGUCAUGUAGCGAUCAGUGAUCUUGGGUAGGAAUGUAUCCACUUUGAUUCGAUUUGGGAUCAAUUCGCAGAAACGAGACAUGAUCACAGCCCCUGACCUGAAAAAUCACGGCUGGCCCAUCCCCAUCCACGGACUGAGCACGCUUGACUGUGAGAGUCUGCGCGUGCACUACGGCCAUGCCAUUGCCAUGUACUCCCUUCGUUUUCUUAGUCCGCAUAUAAGAUUUGAUCAAAGUCAAACUUCAUAAACUUUGACUAAAUUUACUAAAUAAAAUAUCAACAUUUAUAAUAUCAAAUCAAUAUUAGUAGAUGCAUCAUAAUAUUAAUUUUCAUAGCAUAUAGGUUUAGUAUUAUAGAUGUUGAUAUCUUUUGAUAUAUAUUUGAUCAAACUUUGUAUCACUUGACUUUGAUCAAUUUUUAUAUGCAGACUAAAAAGAAAUGGAGUGAGUACUCUGUACUAUUCACACACCACAGCGCACCACUCCCCGGGGAAAGGAUAGACAAACACGUCGCUGCACGCACGGCCUCCUGCCAUCUGGCCACCAUGAUCUGAGCUCCAUUGGCCGCCGGACCGGAGCGCCAAAAUUCUGGAGGAGAAUGUAUCGAGGAAGACGACGACGACGACGACGGCGCAGUCCAAAUCAACGGAAGCUUCGAUCCAAACCCCAUCAUCUGUUUCUGGGGCCAAUUCUAUUUUUACAGCGGAGUCCUAAUAUUAAUAUGGAAGCUGACAAAAAAACUUCAGGGUCCGAAAUUACAGACAGGCUAAUUAUAAUCAAUCAUACUCCUAUACGCCUACUAUCCAGCGGUACAGGCCCAUGAGCCCCGCCUCGUCCUCGUCCGCCGCCCGCGGCGCCGCCAUCGCCGCCGCUUCGGGGUCCCACCGCCAGGAAUCCUCCUGCCGGUGGCUAUGGUGUCCCUGGCUCCACCGCGCGCUCCACCGCCCGGAGAGGGAUGACGCCGAGGAGGCCAGCCGGUCCACGUACUCCCGUAGCCACCCUCGCGACCCCGCCGCCUCCGCCAGCGCCUCGCCCGGGCCCUGCUGCGGCGCGGCGCGCUGCCCGGCCACCCCCGACUUGGCCGCCGCCGCGGGGCGCGCGAUGCGCGCCACCACGGCCUCCACCUCCUCGUCCACGCGGUAGUCGAAGGAGCCGAGGGAGUAGGUGCGGCGGUCGUCCCCCGCGGCGGACGAGCGCCGGUUGCUCACGCUGCCGAUCUCGACGCGGAAGCUCCUGGACGCGUUGCUGCUGCUCCUCGCGUCCAGCGNNNNN
rnacentral:lncRNA from 1 species